rnacentral:lncRNA from 1 species
UUGAAGUAUUUAUGGAUCGUUCCCAUUUUUUAAUUAUAAAUAAGCACCUAACAUAUUUAGAAUCUACCCAAUCCAAUUAGAUCGGCUUUAAAUGGUAUAUUAAUUUUUAUUAUAACGAAUGACCGGUAGCAAGAUUUUCCAACUUCAUCGUUAACUUUCUCUUCUAUUAAACUUUUAGUUUAUUCUUGGUCAAGAAUCUAAACUCACUCUUUUACAAAUUCACUCCCUUACAAAUAGAUUUUUCCUUUCUUCUUUUCUCGAUUAUAGAAUGAGUUUUGAAUAAAUUCAUAACACAUCUCAUUCAAUCUCACAAUUAAUUCGAAACUUAAAACAAUCGAAACCACAAAAAAUUUUCUAGCUUAAGAAACUAAUAUUUUUAUCUUGUGAUUACACAUGACUCAAGAGAACAUACAAAAAAAUAUAUAUUUAAAGAUACGAUUAAAACUUAUUAAAAUAAUUUUAAAUAUCAACUGCAUGGGAUUAUUGGAUAAAUAAUUAAAAUAAUAAGAAAUAUAACUUUCUUUUAUUAAUAAUAAAUUAUUUAAUUAAAAUAGAUAAAUUCCAAACCCAACUAAUGAUGGCUAAAUUUAAGUGGUACAUAUUUUCCAAUUCAAUAUCCAAUCAAAUUUAUUAACACCAUAAUUAUUACUUAAUUGACUUAAUACCCAAAAGUAACGUGACCAGAUGAACAACUAUCAACUUCAAUUACACUAACUGGUUCACUAAUAACCUCAAAAUCUUAAAAUUCAACUUCUGAUUAUGCUCCUUCCAUUCUUAAAUUUCUUAACCCCAAAUUGUCCAUCCCUUUCGCAAAACAACCAAUAAACCAGUAGUAUGUAGGGGACUACUGUCGCGGUGAUGGCGCCUUUGGCCGAAGCCCACCCAUCGGUGGUUAGUUCCGGCGUAGCGCGGUAACAAGGGAGAAGGGCCUUUUGGUGGUGGCUAGUGGCUGUUGGUCGCCGAUCUGAUAUUUUCGGGCAGUUUCCGAUGAUGGUUUCGCCAUUGGUGGCAUCGCGGGUGGUGGCCAGAUCUGCCGAUAAGAUUCCGGUGGGUAUCCAAUUUUGGGUUGUUGGUAUUGGGAGGGCUGUUUGGCCAUUGGAUUUUAAGUUUUUCGAUGGAAUUAUGCCUUCGGAACAGUAACAAUGGUGACAAUGGGGUGUUUGGUUGCCGAUUUAACAUUUCUAAUCGGUUUUCGAUUUAUUUCCGGCGGGAUGAGUGCGCCGGAAAACCUCGUUGUUAGUGACCGGUGGAGAUGAUGAUUCCAGCAAAAGCUUCGCCAAAAAAAAUAUUUUUUCUUCAAUUCCGUUCACACUUAUUUUCUACUGUUUAUCUCCCUCAUUGAUAUAUAUAUAUAUAUAUAUAUCCUUUUCUUACUACACUCUUCUCUCUUUUAACAAUCUAAUUCCUCUCUAUUUUUCUGUUAUUUUCCUGCAAAAACGAAAAACAUCAGUUCAAACAUUGCAAUCGAAAACUCCAAGCAAAACUUGAUACCUUUUUCUCUCUUUUUGACUGAUAUUUUCUUUUCUCCCUGAUUUUUUUGACUGACUUUUUCUUUUCUUUUUAUUUAUCUCUGGUUUCUGUCUAGAUAGAAUAUACGUCUCUUUUUUUGAGGGUGAGGGAAUCCUUAAAUAAAAGGAUUAUUUUGGGGAACAAUUUAGAGGAAUGACAAGAUAAAAUGGAUAAGAGGUUGGGUAGUUGUAGGAUUUGAAUUUAAUUUUUUUUAAUUUUAUUUUUUAAUUACUAUUAUAGAAACUGAUAAUAAUAAUAAAAAAAAUAAUAAAUAUAAAAAAAUAAUAAAAAUAAUAUAACUGUUAUGAUAUAUAUCAAUUAUAGUGAAUGUCUAUCAAUAUUUAUUUGAUGUCUAUUAGGAUUUGAUGUUUUGUCUUUUAGCGUGAAACUAGGGUAAAUUCUCUUUAUAAAUAGAAGGAUUUCCUUCAUUGUAUAUUAUCCCUUAAGAGAAUAAAUAACAAUUACUCUCUCUAUUCUCUCUACUCUUCUUCUUUAUUCUUUCUUGUUUUAUAAUAUAUUAUCAACACGAGACUCUACUGUCUCAAAUUUGAAGGUUAAGGCUAAGGUAUUAUUUUUUUUUAUUUCUUCCUUUUUUCAUAUGGCUAACAAUCUUACGAAGUGUGAGUUCGUUGCCCUUCAAAGUUCGGGCAAGAACUAUAUUUCAUGGGUGUUGGAUGCUGAAAUCCACCUAGAUGUUAUGGGUCUUGGAGAUGUUAUAAAGAAUGAAAGUACAACAUCUAGUCAAAAUCGUGCUAAGGCUAUGAUUUUCUUGUGUCAUCAUCUUGGCGAAGUUCUGAAAAUUAAGUACCUUACUACUAAGGAUCCACUCGUAUUGUGGAAUAGCCUAAAAGAAAAGUUUAACCACUUAAAGAUGGUCAUCCUCCCGAAAGCACGAUAUGAGUGGAUGCAUCUAAGAUUUCAAGUACAAUUCUACCAUGUUCAGAAUUUAUUCUCAAUUGAAACUUUGUAGAGAGACGAUUAAUGAUAAUGAUAUGGUGAAAAAGAUGCUCUGUACUUUUCAUGCCUCAAAUGUGCUCUUACAACAACAAUAUCGAGAAAAAGGUUUCAAGAAGUAUACUGAACUGAGUUCUCAUCUACUAGUGGCUGAACAAAAUAAUGAUUUGUUGAUGAAAAAUCACGAGAACCGACCAACUGGAUCUGCACCAUUCCCUGAGGUGAAUGAUGUGCACGCUCACCAUGUUAGGCGUGAAAAAAGUUGCGGCCCUGGUCGUGGACAUGGUCGUGGACGUGGUCGUGAUGACCAAGAAAGAAACCCUGUUCCGGGUGUUAAUAAUUCAUCAAACAAAAGAAGAAAAGAUGAGAAACGUGAAGCAGUUAAUAAUUUUCGAUGUGGUGGAAAAGGACAUUAUUCACGUGAUUGUCGUGCUCUCAAGCACUUGAUUGAUCUUUAUCAAGCAUCACUAAAGAAGAAAAAGAGAAAUCUCAAGGCUAACUUUCUCUCUGAAAAUAAUGUUGACAUCACAUGUUUGGAUGUAGCAGACUUUUUCCAGCACCCUGAAGGAAAGAUUGAUCAUUUGAUUGGUGAUGGUUCCGUAAACAUGAAAGAAUGAAUGAUUUUUAAUUUUGUUUUUUAUUAUUAUUGAUAAGAGUUAGUGAAUAAAGAAUCAUGUAAAAGUAGUUGUUUGCAUGAGUAUUAGUUUUCGAUUAGAAUUGAUUAGUUUAAUUAUAUUAUUAUUAUUUAUUAUUGAAUUUCAAUUUUACCAUUAUUUAUAAAAAAAAAAAAAAAGGAUCACUGACAAUAACGAAUACUACUAAAUUAGAUGAAUGAUGAGUAAUUUCAACAAUAACACAUGCGCCGUUUUCUAUAACAUAAUAAUAACAAUAUAUUGUUCUGCAUGUCCUAACCAUUGCAUGUCUUAUUUUUAUUGUCACUAGAAGAAGACAUAGUACAAAUACACGUGUUUUUCUUUUUCUUUUUAAUUAAUUAUUGAAAAAACAAAUACUAAACUAAGCUAAUCACAUACUAAUUGGAUAUAUUUUUGCUUAGUAAAGUGUGAUUAAUAAUUUCUUAUAGUAUAAGCUUUAAUAUAUAUAUAUAUCUUAUUUGUUGUCUGUCAUUUUAUUUGAAGAUAUGAAUAAUUUUCAAAGUAAGCUGUUCAAUUAUGAAGAUAUUUGUUUGAUUGAUUCUGGCACUACACUUACGAUAUUUAAAGACAAGAAAUAUUUCUAUCAUCUAAAUAUGGGCAAGAUUAAUGUUACUACAAUUUCUGGUAGUGCUAAUUUGAUUGAAGGCUUCAGAAAAGCUAUUAUAAUUUUGUCCAAGGGAACUAAACUCAUCAUAAAUAAUGCUAUGUUUUCUUUUAAGUCUCGGAGAAACUUGAUGAGUUUUAAAGAUAUCCGUGAAAAUGGUUAUUAUAUCAAGACAAUUAAUGAGAUGAAUCUUGAAUAUCUUGAUAUCAAUAAGAAUGUCUCUGGCCAGACAUGUGUUGUUGAAAAGUUCCCUGUUUUAUCUUCUGGCCUGUAUUGGACAAAGAUUUAUGCAAUUGAGACACAUUUUAUAGUAAACCGAAAGUUUACUGAUUCCAAUACUUUCGUACUUUGGCAUGAUCAUCUGGGACAUCCAGGAUCAAUAAUGAUGAGACGAAUAAUAGAAAAUUCAAAUGGGCAUUCAUUAAAGAACUUGAAGGUUCUUUUGAAUGGUGAAUUUUCAUGUAAUACUUGUUGUCAAGGCAAGUUGAUUGUGAGAACAUUGCCAACAAAAGUUGGGAUUGAGUCCCCCGCAUUCUUGGAAUGCAUACAUAGGGAUAUUUGUGGACCAAUUCACCCACUAAGUGGGUCAUUUAGAUACUUCAUAGUCCUAAUAUAUGCUUCUUCUAGAUGGUCUCAUGUGUGCCUUUUGUCAUCUCGCAACUUGGCAUUUGCAAAAUUUUUGGCACAAAUAAUAUAAUUACGGGCACAAUUUUCUGAUAAUCAAAUCAAGUCCAUUCGUCUUGAUAAUGCUAUAUAAUUUUCAUUCCAAGUAUUUAAUGAUUAUUGCUUAUCGAUCGGGAUAAGAGUGAAACAUCCUGUACCCCAUGUUCACACUCAAAAUGGCCUUGCUGAGUCAUUAAUUAAACGUUUGCAGUUGAUAGUAAGACCAUUACUAAUGAAAACUAAGUUGCCCAUUUCUGUUUGGGGUCAUGCAAUUUUGCAUGCUGCAACACUUAUUCGUCUUAGACCAACAAAUUAUCAUAAAUUUUCUCCGUUGCAAUUGGUUUUGGGUCAAGAGCCUAAUAUAUCACAUCUGAGAAUUUUUGGGUGCGGUGUUUACGUACCGAUAGCACCACCAAACCGCACCAAGAUGGGCCCCCAAAGAAGGUUAGGAAUUUAUGUUGGGUUUGAAUCACCCUCCAUUAUUCGCUAUCUUAAAUCAUUAACGGGAGAUAUGUUCACUGCUCGAUUGGCAGAUUGUCGGUUUGAUGAGUUACUUUUCCCAAAAUUAGGGGGAGAAGAAAGUGACAUCAAAAGAGAAAUUUUGUGGAAAAAUCCAUCACUAUCUCAUCUUGAUCCACGUGCUUCUAUUUGUGAGCAAGAAGUACAAAAAAUUGCAAAUCAAAUGUCGGACGCAUUUACAGAUUUGAAAAGAAUCACUAAAUCACAUAUUCCCGCAGAGAAUGUCCCAAUUCGAAUUGAUGUCUCUAAAGGACCAUCCACUAGUGUCAUAACUAAUGAAUCUAAAGCACGCUUGAAGCGUGGCAGACCAUUAGGUUCUAAGGAUCGAAAUCCUAGAAAAAGAAAAACAAAUGGUCAAGAUGACACUACGAAAGAUCCACAUACGGAAGUUCAAGAUUUGAGCAAUGUUGAUAUCCCUGAAGGAAUCAAUGAGCCUGAGACUCAAGAAAAUGAGGAACUAUUCAUAAAUUCAAGUGAUGUUGAAACUAAUUUGAAUCGAUCUGAAAUAAUAGUGGAUCAUGUCUUUACAUAUAAUGUUGCAACGAACAUCAUGCAAGAUAGCGAGGAUCUUGAACCUUGAUCGGUCACAGAAUGUCGACAAAGAAAUGACUGGCCAAAAUGGCAAGAGACAAUUCAAUCUGAAUUGAAUUCGCUCGUCAAACGUGAAGUUUUUGGACCUAUAGCUCAAACACCUAAUGGUGUUAAGCCUGUUGGCUAUAAAUGGGUCUUUGUGAGAAAAAGAAAUGAGAAACAUAAAAUACAAAGGUAUAAGGCACACCUUGUUGCACAAGGAUUUUCACAAAGGCCCGGUGUUGAUUAUGGCGAUACAUAUUCACCAGUUAUGGACGCAAUAACAUUGUGUUAUCUUAUUAGUUUCACUGUCCAUGAGAGACUUGAAAUGCAUUUGAUGGAUGUGGUAACAACCUAUCUAUAUGGAUCACUUGAUAAUGAGAUAUACAUGAAAAUUUUUGAAGGAUUCAAAAUGCCGAAAACAUAUAGUUCAAAGCCUCAAAAAAUGUAUUCCAUUAUAUUGCAACGAUCAUUGUAUGAUUUGAAGCAAUCUGGACGCAUGUCGUUUAACCGCCAUAGUGAAUAUUUAUCUAAAGAAGGUUAUAUGAAUGAUGAAAUUUGCCCAUGUGUUUUCAUAAAGAAAACAACAUCGGAGUUUGUUAUACUUGCUAUCUAUGUAGAUGACAUAAACCUUAUUGGAUCGCCAAUAGAGCUUUAAAAGACAAUUGAUUACCUAAAGAAAGAAUUUGAGAUGAAAGAUCCCGGAAAGAUAAAGUUAUGCCUUGGUUUGCAAAUAGAGCAUUUGACAAACGGUAUCUUUGUCCAUCAAUCUGCCUACACAGAAAAGGUUUUGAAACGAUUCUAUAUGGAUGGAGCACAUCCAUUAAGUACUCUGAUGGUUGUUCAAUCACUUGAUGUGAAUAAGGAUCCAUUUCGACCUCAAGAAAAGAAUGAGGAACUCCUUGGUCCCGAAAUACCAUAUCUUAGUGCAAUUGGUACACUAAUGUAUCUUGCAAAUACUACAAGGCCUAAUAUUUCCUUUUCAGUUAAUUUGGUAGCAAGGUAUAGUUCUGCUCCUACUAGGAGACAUUAGAAUGGGAUCAAACACAUAUUUCGGUAUCUAAAAGGGACUACCGAUAUAGGCUUAUUUUAUUCUAAAGACUAUCGUUCCGAUCUUGUUGGUUAUGUUGAUGCUGGGUACUUAUCUGACCCGCAUAAAGCUCGGUCUCAAACAGGCUAUGUGUUCAUAUGUGGGGGUACUGUCAUAUCUUGGAGAUCAACAAAGCAGUCUAUUGUAGCCACUUUAUCGUAAAGGAUCGUCAACAAGGGCGUUCUAGUGUGUUGUAGAUUCUCAUCCAAGACUUGUAUCAUUUGAUGAUGCCAUGUGAAUUGCUAGAAACAUGUGAAGUGUAUGGCUAACCCAAUAACGAAAGUUUCGUAAGGGGACUGGAGCAGGCUACCACGAGACAAGAUAUAGCUAUUCAUGAAGCAAGCCGAGAGUGUGUGUGGUUGAGGUCCAUAAUACAUCUCAUUCGAGAAAAAUGUGGUUUAAAAUAUGACAAAGUACCCACAACUUUAUAUGAAGAUAAUGCAGCAUGCAUAGCACAACUGAAAGGUGGAUUAAUAAAAGGAGAUAGAACAAAACAUAUUUCACCAAAGCUCUUUUAUACACAUGAGCUCCAAAAGAAUGGUGAUAUUGACGUACAACAGAUUCGUUCAAGUGACAAUGUGGCUGAUUUAUUCACCAAGUCUCUUCCAAUUGCAACUUUCAAGAAAAUGGUGCACAAGAUCGGAAUGCAAAGGUUGAAGGAUGUUCUUAUUAGGGGGAGCUAAUACGCGCUGUGCUCUUUUUCCCUUACGAGGUUUUGUCCCACUGGGUUUUUCUUGUAAGGUUUUUAAUGAGGCAGCUUAUAUGCGUAUUGUUAGACAUUCAAGGGGAAGUGUUAUGAUAUAUAUCAAUUAUAGUGAAUGUCUAUCAAGAUUUAUUUGAUGCCUAUCAGGAUUUGAUGUAUUUAUCUUUUAGUGUGAAACUAGGGGUAAAUUCUCCCUAUAAAUAGAAGAGUUUCCUUCAUUGUAUAUUAUCCCUCAAGAGAAGAAAUAACAAUUACUCUAUUCUAUCUACUCUUCUUCUUUAUUCUUUCUUGUUUUAUAAUAAUAACUAAUUAAUUUUUAUAUUUAAAGAAAUACAAUAAAAGUUUAUAAAUAGUCAAAAUAAAUAUAAUUAAGGUAGUACUAAAAACACUAGCUUAUUUAUUAAAAUUUAAAAGGAAAUUAUAUUUUUGAAUUUUUUUAUUAUUUUUAAAAUAAAAAUAAAAUAUUUUAAAAUUAACUUUAUUUAUUUAUUUAUUUUUAACUAAAAAAUUUAUUAAAAAUAAAAUAAGAGUUAAAAUAAUAUUGGAUCAAAUAUAAAUAUUUAAUAUCAAAAAAUAGGUUAAAAUUCGGGAAGAAUCAAAAAUCACGUGUCUACAAGUAUUGUUGAUGCUUGAGGCACAACUGUGAUAGGCAAAUGAGAAGAAUGGAGGCCUAUAUAGUACUUUUUUCUAAUUAUCGAAAAUGUUACUAAUAAUAACUUAACCUAAAUUCAUCAUUUUGAUCGAAGAUGUGUUACACCAUGCUUCACCUAGAGACUCCCAUGCAACAUGUCGACUCAUUUAAACUAAAACGGGACCAUUCUUAUAUAGAAACAAGGCAAAACUUCACAUGUUUUUACUUAAGAGUUAAGAGAAGAAAAACAAAAGACUUUUUUCCAUUGUCCAAGAAUGAUUUUUAAAAAAUAAGCAUAGUUUUAUUUUAUUACUUAUACCUCUCUUAACUAAUUUUUUAGUCUAAAUUUUAGUAAUUACAUUUUAUAGAUUUUAGUUAGUGAUUAAAUAUAUUUAGGACUCUAAUAUACAAAUAUUAACUAACAUAUUUUAUUACUAUUUUAUUUAUGUUUAGAGAUUAAGGGUCCGUUUGGCCAUGGAUUUUUUUUUCUUUUUUUCGUUGUUGAAAAUUAUGGUGUUUAGCCAUGAAAAUCGGAAAAUAAUUCCGAAAUUUUUUUCUGAAAAGGGAAAACAGGUUUUUGGUGUUUUCCAAUUUUUCAACUCCAAUUCCAACUUUUAUUAUUAUUACAUAUAACCCCAAUCUUUUAAAUUUUUACAUAAAACUCUCCUUAUAACAUUACUUUUUCAAUAUUACGUAUAUAACAGUUUUAAAAAAUAAGAUAAUAAUAAUUUCAAACUUAAUGCUAUCCUAAUUAAUAUAUAUCUCUUUUUCUCUCUCAUCAUUAUUUUUCUCUCUUAUUUUUAAUUUUCUCUCUUAUUUAAGACAUUAUUUUACUGCUAAUGAUCCUAAUUGCUAUAAUAUAAUAAUAAUAAUAAUAAUAAUAAUAAUAAUAAUAAUAAUAAUAAUAAGUUUUCUGCUAUGAUGCAUACGUUUAAGAAAUUAUAGUCGUGUAAUUAAUAAUGGAUAAUCAUUUUCUAUAUUUAUGGAAUUAAUAAAGUUGUAGCAGAUUAGUUUACCACUGCCAUAAAUUAUUCUCAUUUUUAAUUUGAUUAUAUAUAUUAUANNNNNNNNNNNNNNNNNNNNNNNNNNNNNNNNNNNNNNNNNNNNNNNNNNNNNNNNNNNNNNNNNNNNNNNNNNNNNNNNNNNNNNNNNNNNNNNNNNNNNNNNNNNNNNNNNNNNNNNNNNNNNNNNNNNNNNNNNNNNNNNNNNNNNNNNNNNNNNNNNNNNNNNNNNNNNNNNNNNNNNNNNNNNNNNNNNNNNNNNNNNNNNNNNNNNNNNNNNNNNNNNNNNNNNNNNNNNNNNNNNNNNNNNNNNNNNNNNNNNNNNNNNNNNNNNNNNNNNNNNNNNNNNNNNNNNGCAAUAUUUUAUAUUUAUGCUAUAUUAUAUAAUAUACCAUAAAUAUGCAAAGUAUGUUUUACAUAGAAAUAAUUUAUUCACACACAGUAAAAUCUUUCAUGUAUAAGAAAAUUAAAGAAAUAAAUUAGCGACACCCUAAAAUUUAAUAACAACUCAUCAUUUUCUAUUUUUUAGGAAUAAAAAAUAAAGAAAAUAAAUUAGAUAAAUUCCUAAGAAAGAAAAUUUGUUUGAAAGAAAAUAUUUGUUACCUAAAAAAUAGGAAGCAGUGAUUUGUUAAUAUAACAUCCAUAUUUAAAAUUUUCAAAUAUGAGAAAACGGCUAUUAAUGAAAAUAUUAUAUAUGUCAUAAUUGAAAUUCAUUAAAUAUGACCAUGUAUAUGUAAUUAUUUUUACAAAAGUGGCCAAUUAUUUUUUUUUGUUAGUAGGUAAAUUUUAGUUGGGUGAUUUUGACAGUUUGUAAAAGUUAGGGUAUAAAAUCAUAUUUUAAAAAGUUUUUUCAAAAGUUUUAAAAAAAAAUUCAAAAAAAGCAUGGCCAAACACGACUCCAACUCCAAUUUCAACUCCAACUUCAACUUCAAAAAAUUUUAGUUUUCAUGGCCAAACGGCUACUAAAAGGGAAAGAGGUAUGAUUCACUUCCUUUAUUCUCUCCAACAAACUUUUUUAAAAUUUUUUUUCUUCUGUUUCCAUAUCCACUGUUAUAGUUUACCUUUUAAUUUUUAAAAUACAAAAAGAAAAUUCAAGAGUCGAUGUCCGAAUCAGAUUCGGAGUUAAAGGAGAUAAGCGAGUAUGUCAAUUCUAGUGAAGAUUUUGCCAAUCGGAGUGUCAGUGGUGACAGUGAAAAGAGCGAGGGAAGUAGGAGUAAUAGUGAUAAUGGGGAUAAUGAUUCCUUUUCUGUGCCAUAUCUUUCAAGGUGUAUUUCCAUAGAGCGGUAUGACCUUCGAACGAUAAUUGAUGAGGUUGGAUCUUUUCUGGCAAAGAUAUCGGUCAGAUCAAGAAUGGAUGCUUAUCGAGAAUUUAAGCAAGUUCUUGUCGACCAAUAAUUAAAGAAAAGAUUCAAGCAAUCCUGUUUUGGACACCUGAGAAACCUGUCGGAACAUCUCAAGUUCAAUGGGCAGUUAGUUUAUUAUUUGUUGUUGCGACGCAUCAGGAACGAUAAGAUGCUUCAUGAGAUGUGGUUCUGCAUUAACAACAAGCUUGCUUGUUUUGGCUUGAAAGAUUUUUGUUUGAUCACGGGGCUGAACUACUCAGCAUACCCCAGUGAAUAAAAAAUGAAGAAAGUAUUAGCAAAAGGGGACAAUUUUUAUUUUAAGGAGAUGAAAAAUAAAAACAUCACAGCGGCCAACUUGUUACACUUGAUUAGAGGGAAUAAGCUGAACGAGGACCAGAAGUUCAAGUCCUGUUUACUUUGGUUCUUGCAUACCAUGUUGCUUGCGACAGAUUCGACGAAGGUUGUCGACAUAAAAUUGAUUCGAAUAGUCGAUUCGUUGAGUUUCUUCAAGAAGUAUCCAUGGGGGAAAGAGACAUUUCAAUUGACCAUGGACUAUCUAAAGAAGAAAAGUGACCUGAAGAAGUAGAAAGGGGUAUUUUAUGAGAAACAUAAGGCAUCCUAUGCUCUAUUCGGAUUUCCCUGGGCAUUCAUGGUAUCUACCAUAAACCCUUUAGUGAGUUUAUCAUAGAUUCUCAUUUUAUUUAUACUCUGUCAUAGACUUUGAGUUAUUUUUUUCACUGUUGUACUGCUUACAGAUUUGGAUCUAUGAGGCCUUUCCUCAUCUUGGAGAAUUUGCUGGAAAAUCAAUGGAUGAGCCCCUUCCCAUUUCCCGCAUACUCAGAUGGCACACUAUAAAAAGUGACAAGAUAAUCAAAGGCGACCCAUUCAAAUAUAAAGAAAAAGUUAUCGAGGUAUGAACUUAUUUUCUAUUAUGCAAUAAUACUACAGUUGCAUCAAAUGUUAUGUAAUUUUUAAUUGAUAUUUUAUAGAACGUGCACCUGCACAUCAUCCCUACUAUUUGUGAGACGAAAAUGAAUUACAUGAUUACGUUUGAGCCAUAUACGGACAAGGUGAAGAAUAACAUCCUUGAUGGCUUGAAGAAAGAGUUAGAAGGGGUGCUUGUCCUUACCUUAAAUGAGGACAGUAAUGAUGACGGGGAUUUGGAUGGUAACCCCGUUAGAGUACGCGUUGGUGAUGUUGAUUCUCUGAGCACCUCUAAAGAUGCAGUGGGAACCUUAUCCCUCGGGAAUCUUCAUAAGCGUGUCGCUGUGCUCGAGAAGGCGAUGUUGGAUAUUGUUGCCUAUAUCAGAGAGAAAAGAAUGAAGAAAAAGGAAAUGGAUGAGCGACAACAUGAGUGAGGUAACUUUAUUCAAUAAUUAAUGUUGUUAAUAAAUUUUCAGCUUUAAAUAUCAGUAACACUUUGUAAUAUAAUGAUACAGUGCAUGUGGACCUCCGUGAAUCGGAGAGGAAUGAAGAAGGAGAAAAAAAGAGCACAAUGGAUGAGUUGGCCUCUGUUGUGGCAGAAAAGGAAAAUAAAGAACAAAAGUUGAAUGAUGAAGAAGAUAAGAGCCAAGAAGAAGGUGAAAAAGUAGCAGCUGCAGAAGCAGAAGAAGAAGUGGCAACAGAUGAACAAGAAGGCGAGAAAAAAUAAAAAAAUAUUGAAGAAGAAGCUGGCAAAGCUGACAAAUAAGAAGUUGAGAAAGAAGCAACAGGUGAACGAAAAGAAGAUGCUGAGGAAGAAACAACUGCUACAGGUGAAGAAAGAGAAGAAAGUGUGGAAGAAAAGAAAACUAAAGAAGCACCAGCUGCGGCACAUGCUGAAAACAAAGGAGAAGAAGGUGAGAAUAAAGAAGCAGCUGCAACUGUUGAGAAAAAAAGAGUUGAAGCUGACCAAAAAGAUGUGGUCAUGGACAUUGUUGAUGAAAUCAAUAGUAACACUUGUGUUGAUGAGGAACUUAGGAAAAAAGACAUUUGAAUCCUAAACCGUUUAAUGUGUUGUUGAAUCAUGGUGGUUAUGAUAUGACCAUUUUUUUUAUUUCUCAAAUAUGAAGGUUGAAGGAUAUGGUGGUAGGAUAUGACAAUUAUUCUUUUAUUUUAUGAAACUUGUUAUGGUUCUGCAGUGAUUCUGUUUGUGUCAAACUGAUUUAUGGCAUGAAAUUUGAAUAUGCAUGGUGUGGUCAUAGUUGGUACAUUGUAUGCUUGAUAUCAUAGACUGCACACUUAAUAUUUCAUAUAUCGUAUGCAUAGUCUAUCAUUACCUUGGUGGUCGAAUUUAAGUUGACGUGUUGUUUAAUCGACUAAGAUUCUAUCAAAAAUAGUAUUAACAUUAUAGAAAAAUAGAACUAUUAAUAUUUAUUCAACAUCACUACAUCCAUGUUACAGUUUUCCAAAGAACGAAUACUAGCAUUAUAGCACAUAACAUCAUUUUUAUUACAUUCUCCCUUUCUUCGGCCAAAAUUAAUUUUUGUUUUAGUUGAUCCCUCACUAUUUGGGUGUCAUGUAACAAUAUUUUAAAGUGAUCCCACUGUUCUUCGGCUUCUUUGAACAAAGUCAUGAGAAAAUCUUUAUUUUCUUCGCAUUGUUAGAGCCUUUGUAGUAGAUUAAAUUUUGCCAAGCCUUGAAAAUUUGAUGUCUCGAGUCCCGAACUCAAUGUUGAUGGACUGGUCAGAGGUGAUAGCUCAUCAAGCCAUUUAACAAACGAGCAUGCGCCAUUAACCUAGGAAAAAAAUAAUAAUUACAUAACGAUUAACUUAGCUUUUUUAAAAAAAAAAAAUACACACCUCACUUUUGCAAUUGCACAAUUAUAAAAUUUGCAAUCAGGAUUUGAAUCUGUGUGUGACAUCCUCAAGACAGCCGCAUUCCCACAAUGACAAAUUCGAGUAUUUUUGGAAUUUGAUGUUUGAGAUGCUUGCGACAUUGUAGAAUUUUUAAAAACAAAACAAAGUGAACGAAAUAAAAUAAUGAGGGAUGGACACCUUAUAUAUAAAGUAAAAAUGAAGUGUUAACACUGAUGGCUUACAAAAGUAGCCGUUUAUUAUCGUUGAAAAAGUAAUUUUUCUUUUUUUUGAACUGGUGGUGACACUUAAUAGACUGUCGUAGAUCAUGACCUAUGUCCGCCAUCGAUUAGCCUGGUUUACCGUAGACUUAUACCUGUAAUAGUGCAUCGAUUGAUAUUGUUAUUAUGCGUAGACUACGUUGAUCUAUGUACACUUCUAUAGACCAUCAUGUGGAUGUAGUUAAAAAUGAAUAAAUAAAUUAAAAAUAAAUUUAAAUAGAUAAUAACAUAUUUUGGGGCUGGUAGAAGAGAUUAAUUAAAUAUAAUAUAAUUUAAAUGGAUAAUAACAUGUUUUACAGCUGGUGGAAGAAAAUAAUUUAAUUAAAAAAGAUUUAAAUAGAUAAUUUUGGUGUGGUGGUGACACUUAAUAGACCUUCGUAGAUCAUGACCUAUGUCAACCAUCGAUUAGACUGGUCUACCGUAGACUUACACCUUUAGAAGUGCAUCAAAUGAUAUCAUGCUUAUGCGUAGACCACGGUGAUCUAUGUACACUGUUAUAGACCAUCACUAGGAUGUAGUUAAAAAAUGAAUAAAUAAAUUAUAAAUAAAUGUUGUGUGAAUUUCUACACAUGUGAAAGAGUAUAAACAAGUCACAUAAUCAUAUUAGAGCUUAAAUAAAUUUGGAGGGGGGUGAAUUAAGGAGUGUGUGAAUGGGUAGUGGUUGAAUAUUCAAUAUCGUUAGAGUAAUGUUUGUCAAAGCACAAGUAUUUUUUGAGAAUGUGUAUGUUUUGAGGGUAGUGGUUGAAUGCCCUCUCAUGUGUAAGCCUGAUUUUUUUUCAUGACCCAAGCACGUGAAAAUAUUUUUAAUAAUCGAGAAAGUUCAAAACAAAUGCAAUAAGAAAAUUAAUUUAAAAAGAAAUUAAAAGAUAAAUCUUACUUAUGAAAAAAAAAGAGUGGAAAGAGAGAUUGUUCUUUCAUAUAUUUAUGAACAAGAUAAUAUAUUGGUAAGACUAUUGGAUUACAAUAAUAUUUGAAACUAAAUAUAUCAUGAAAUUAUUUUGGUCAAUUAAAUUUAGUCAUUAAAUAUAGCUUAUGUCAUGUGUCAUAAAUCCAAGCAAGAACUUGGACGAAAUUAAAAGAAUAUUCAUCAUCAACUUCAUUUUUAUUACAGAAGAAAAAGGAGAGUUAAUUCCACUUCAUUAAUGGACUUAAGUCCAUUGUUUUGAUCGAAGAGGACCUACAUAAAAUGUGAAGUUAUCUCAUUUUAUACGAUCCUCUUCGAUCAAAUAAUAAAAUCAAAUCUAUCGACUUCGAGCCCCACUGCAUCAUCUCUACUAAUAAAAACAGGUUGGAUAAAUUAGAUAGGAAGUAUUAAGUAAGAGAUCUCUUCGUCCAUUUCUCUUCUUCUCUUUGUCCAUUUCUCUCUCUCUCUCUCUCUUCGUGUUAAUUAUGAAAAUAUCACCCUCCUACAAAAUCGCUAUGAAAAACUCUCAGCAAUCAGCGGAAAUGAAGCGGAAGCGAAUGCAGUGGCAGACGAGAAGGACAACUGACCAUGUGAUUCAUCCCCAUCAUACGUCCAGCCCCAGCCAUGGAAGCCUCCACCACCAAUGUCACAGACAUGGCAACCUCCACCAUCAUCGAUGCAAAUAUGACAGUUUCAACCACCACCAUCGCAAGCAUGGCAAGCUCCGCCACUAUCGUCGCAGGAUCCACCACCACCAUUGCUGGAGGGGUGGAGGCUUGUUUGGCGAGUUGUUGAUGAGAGUUCCUAUACCAAUGGAGGAAACAACAGAUAGGGUACCUUUGAUGCCCAAAGGUAACUUUGUCAUUUUCCUUGAGCUAGGCAUAAAGAAAAAUAAAAUUUGUCAAGGUUAAUUGCUUUAUUUUAUUUUUCAUUAAAGGUGAUAACUUUCUUCUUCUUCUUCUUUUGGGAGAAGUUGAGACUUGAUUUAUUGUUAAAACAACAAUUUUUGUACUUUAUUUUAAUUGAAAAUUUAACCAGACCUACUACUUAAAACUCUCACUCAACUGAAUUUAUCUUGUUUUCACUUGAAAAAUAAAUAAAGAGUACUUCCAUGUCUUCUUAGAGAUAAUUAAAUAUUAAUCAGUUUGAUUCUCAUAGUUGAAUAGAUUAAAUUCAUGAAAUCCUCUCUUAGUUGAAUAGAUUAAAUUUAUAAAAUCCUCAUAUAUUUUUUUUACCUCUUUAAUUUCUCUUCUCUUUAGGAUUAGUCUAUUUGGCAUCACAGUUCUUAAAUGACAUGAUUGCUAUAUUAGUUUCAAAAUAUUUUUGGUUCUGUUUGAGAUUACAAGACACUGAAUUCUAAUCGUACAAUCCAAUUAUUAACUAUUUGUAAUUAUUUUUCUAUUUGAUUGGCUGCAGUUACAGAUCUUGUUCAUUGUUGAUGUGGAAAUGUUAAUGCUACAGCCUACAGGUCUCUUGUCAAAUGUGAAUUCACUUUAUUAUCGCUCCUAGCCAUGGAUAUCGGUUAAAUUGUAAUGAGUUAGAAUAAUUUAGCCAUUUUGUCUUUAUAUAAGUGUGUAUUUUAUCACAACAAUGGAGUUUUUGGGUUUCCGUGUUGUAAUUAAAUUAUGUUACUUGUUGCAUAUUUAGUCGUUUUGACUAUUGGUCUUUGCUAUAGUGUUUUUGACAUGUAUUUAGGAACAGAGGAGUACCAAUUCCUAAACCCAUAACAUUAUUGAGAUCCUUCGUUGUUAUAACUAUGUUACAUACUCCCCCUGCUUGGUUUUACUUUUCAUUAUCUUUUAAUUGUAUUUUUAUUUUUACUUGUCACUUUUGGCAUAUCAUGAAAAGCUAAAAGAAUUAUUUUCUAUUUUACCUUUAGCAUCAAUUACUUAUUCUCCAAAUCAUUUUCAAGACAUAUUAUUCUAAACAUCAAUUAAUAGGGGUAGUAUGAUAAAAUAAAUAUGUCAAUAAUUAUUUUCUUAAUAGAUGUGUCAUGUCAAAAAGUGUAAACUAAAGACAAACGAAGGGAGUACUUCAUUCUUGAAAAUGGAGGAAAAGUAAAACAUCUUCAGUUUGACAUUCAACAAAUAGAAAAGAAAGUAUUAGAUGGUGAUGAUCUAGAAGAACAUCUAGAAAAACCAUUAUAUAAGUAUAAAAAAGUAUAUUCUCUCGCAAAUACUAAUGUAAUACAUUAAUAUCCCCUUAAAACUUGCUAGUAAAGUUCAUUUAGAUAUUUUGUUUCAAUACUAAGAUGCAAGGAAGGGAGAAAAAUAGGUGAUAAGGAGGAAAGAAGAUAUAUUUAAUGCUAAGAUAGCAUACGACAAAACAGUAAUAAAAGUCUUUUAAUUCAUUAAAAUUAACAAAUAAAUAAUAUACCUAUUUUUUGUUUAAAAAAUCAAAUUAAAUGAAAAUGAAUAGUAAUAUUUAAGUUUUAUCACUAGAAAGGGCUACAAAUAAUGUGUUAACCUCGGGAAUGACAAGUUUAUUUUAUUAUAAAAGUGGGUUACAAGAUGUGUUAAUCGCGUGAAGGUAAUUUGUUUAUAUUAUUUAAAAUUUUAAUGUCAUAUGAAGAAAUCAAAGAAAUUUUGGUUUGAAUUUAAUUUUUGAAUUUCGAAAAUUUAAAGGGAAACCAUAAUAGUGCAUAUGGAAAAGAAAGAAAAAAAAUAUAAAAAAAUUAUUGGAGAGAAUAAAGGAAGUGAAUCACACUCCUUUUCUUUUUUAUCUCUAAAGGUAAAUGAAAUAGUAAUAAAAUCUGCUGGUUAAUAUUUGUAUAUUAGAGUCCUAAAUAUAUUUAAUCACUAACUAAAAUCUAUAAAAUGUAAUUAUUAAAACUUAGACUAAGAAAUUAGUUAAGAGGGGUAUAAGUAAUAAAAAAACCUAUGCUUAUUUUUAAAAAACCAUUCUUGGACAAUGAAAAAAGGUUUUCUUUUUUUUUCUUCACUUAACUCUUAAGUAAAAACAUGUGAAGUUUUGCCUUGUUUUUAUUAUGAGAAUGAGCCUAUUUUAGUUUAAAUGAGUCCACAUAUUGCAUAGGAGUCUCUCCAUGAAGCAUGAUGUAACACAUCUUCGAUCAAAAUGCUGGAUUUAAGUUCAGUUAUUAUUAGUAAAAUUUUCUAUAAAUUAGAAUAAAGUAGUAUAUAGGUCUCCAUUCUUCUCAUUUGCCUACCAUUGUUGUACCUCUAAGAAUCAUCAGUACCUUUACUUUCAUUACUCAUUAUUCUUUAUUCUCUCUACAUAUAUAGAUCACAAUUAAACUAGUCUUCUUUCAUUCAUCUAUGUUUGUUCAUAUAAAAAACAUCAUUCGUUAAAACCACCUCAUUCAAAAUGUCAUGGAGAACAACUCUCGCCAAUCGAAGUCGAAUUGUAUUACCCCGUAUUUUCCGAGCUCAUUUUAGCUCUUAGUACACGAGUGUUACUAUAUAAAUUCUUCAAAAUACCUAGAAUUUUUUAGUUUAAGACUUGCCACUGUGUAGGAAAUUCAAUCAGCUUUCCAACGAUAUACAUUUCACUCAAAUCCGAUACCCGGGUGAGAAGUUAUAGCAUUUUUUAGUAAAACAGUGUACCAAAUCGAGAAGCACCGCGUCGCGGUGAGGAGCCAAAUUGCAAUUGUUAAUUUCCAGUGGUGUAACGCGAUUGUACCACUUCACACCAAAGUUUCAGUUCCCAUUUGUCGUUUUCCAGUGAGGCAAUGCGAUUCUACUGCAUCGCGCCGAUAUGCCAUUUUGCAGUUGUUAAUUUCUAGUGUGCCACCGCAACGGUGUCGUGUCACGCCAAGGGUCAAUUUUGCACUCGUCCUUUUUUAAACAAUUUUUCGCCGAAUUCCAGUUGCUCGUCGCGAUGCCACCGCGUUGCAAUGGAGGUCAAAAUCGGGACAUUCAGUGAUGAAAUUUUAUUUCUUUCCAUGGGUAAUUGGGUCUUUUUCCACAACCCUGAUCAGUCCUAAAUAAGUAAUUUAACCCCUAAUAACCUAAUUAUAUCAUUAUUUACUCAAUUCCUCUCAAGAUUAAAUCAUUCUCUCUCAAUUAACAAAACCCUAGCCUUCAAGAAUCAAAAAACAAUUCUCAAGAAAUUCUUCAAGAAGUUUAUUUCUUAGGUAUGUUAGGUGUUCAUCCUGGGGUUCUUUUCACCCAUGAAGUCCAAGAACCCUAUUUAAACAUACAAGUUUACAGAUUUGUGAAUUCAAUACUUGAAAUUGAUUGUACUUAUGUUCAUAAUAUUAUUUGGGUUUCAAUUCAUGAUUUAAUGGUAAGUUUCAUGAAGUAUAAAAUAGCAUGUGUGAUGAAUAUGUGAUCUCCAUGUUAAACCCUUGAAUUUAUAAGUUAGAGAUUGUUGCCAUAAUGAUUAUAUAUGUUCAUUAUUAUUUGAAAUAACUAUGCUCCCCAAGUCUUUGCUAGAAUGCUUAUGUGAAUUGAAUAGUGAAAUCAUGACAUGUAAUUAUGUGGUCCCAUUCAUGUAUAAGUUCAUGUAUCUCAAGUGUUUGAUAAAAUGUCUAAAUGAAUGCAUUGUCAACAAGCAACUAUUAUUGUGCUUUUAAGAUCAUGCCAUGUGUUACUUUCAAUGCUAUCGAGUCCUGGGAGUAUUCAAUACCCAGAAAUUUAGCUGUUUAUCUAGAACUACAGUAGUUACAGGAUAGUCUCAGCAACGUCACAAACAGUAGUACUCAGUCAGUUACAGAACUCAAUAAAACUCAGUCUAGUUCAGUUUGGUUUAAUAAUUAGUGUCAUUCAGUUGGGAGUAGGAUUCAGCACCGAGCGAACUCAAGGAUGGGGGCUCACCUGUCAGUGGAGGCUAUAGUUCUUAGUACCAGUCCUUGCAUUCCAGAACUAUGUAGCCAAUGUAGGUUGAGAUAUUAACUUGGUAGAUAAGGGUUGAUAAGGUGUUUACCUUCCAGUUGAGGGUAAUACCAUUCUCCUCAGGGAACCUGCCAGUAGAGGGUGACCCUUAAUCCUUUGGAACAAUAUUCAGUGGAUUCACAUAGCUAUUGUCUGUACCCGUGGCAUGGUAUUGACACCCUUCCAACUGGGGUUAGAGUUGGACACAGAAUGCCUAAUUCAAAUUGAAAUGUAUAAUGAUCCGGGAAAUAAGAUUUUUCUUUUCUGAAAAGAGAAAAAAUGAAAUAGAUCCACUUUCUAGAUUAUUACGGCACCUUUAAUGAUGAGAGAAGGCGAUACCAAAGAGAAUAACUCAAGGGCACUGGCUACUCCAUCAACUCAAUUUCGUUGCGUGACCCCAAUUCAUUCAGAGAGGGACAUGUCGGUUAGAUGAUUACCUCCCACAGUUUUAGUUUUGGUCUUAGUAUAGAACUCAGUUUAGUUCUACAGAAUCACGACUGUCAGAAACAGUCACUCAGUUAUCAGUAAUUCAGUUAUCUCAUCCCUUGGAACAAUGUCACAAAUAAAAUUUAAAAUGCCACUCGUAAUUUGCGGUGGAGAUGUCAUUUUUUUGUAAAGUCCUAAGCUUUUUAUCCUCGGUGUGAAACCAGAAACGAAUGGUGAGUUCAAUAAUGAAGAUUUCAUGGAUUUAUUUUGAUCAAUUAAAUCUUAAUCAUUAAAUUUAACUUAUGUCAUGUGUUAUUAAUUUAAGUAAGAACUUGAAGAAAAUUAAAAGGACACUUAUCAUCAACUUUAUUUUUAUUAUCCAAGGAAAAGGAGAGUGGAUUCCACAUCAUUAAUGAACUUAAGUCCAUUAUUUUGAUUGAAGAAGACCCACAUGAAAUGUGACGUCAAAUUAUUUCAUACGGUCCUCUUCGAUGAAAUAAUGAACUUAAGUCAACCACUUCUUCCCCACUUCCUUUUUCUUUGGUAAUAAAACCAAGGGUAGAUUGGAAUAGUAAGAGAUCACAAUUAGUACUUUUCUCUUCUACUCUUCAUCCAUUUCUCUCUCUGUAUGUGUUUUAAUUUAAAAAAUAUCACCCCUUUCUACAGAAUCACCAUGUAAAACUCGUAACAACCAGCGCAAAUGCAGCGGACAGUCGGGAAGGACAACUAAGCAUGUGGUUUCAUCUCUCAUCAUACGUACAACCUCAACCAUGACAACCUCCGCCACCAAUGUCAUAGGCAUAGCAGAUUCCACCACCACCAACGCAGACGUGACAGGUUCAUCAACCACCAUCACAACCGUGCCAAGCUUUACCACCACCGUCGCAAGAUCCGACUCCACCGCUGGCGGGGUGGCAGCCUGUUUGGCGGGUUGUUGAGUCCCUAGUUACUAUGCCAAUGGAGGAAACAACGGACAGGGUACCUUUUAUUAUCAUUGGUAACUUUGCGGUUUUCCUUAUUCUAGGGUUACAAAAAAAUUGUCAAGGCUAAUUGCUUUAUUCCAUUUUCCAUUAAAGGUGACAACUUUCUUCUUCUUCUUUUUUUCUCAGAGGUUGAUCAGACUUGAUUUGUUGUUAAAACUAUAAUUUUUGUACUUUAUUUUAAUUGAAAACUUAACGAGACUUUCAUCAUAUGAAGUUUCAAAAUUGGAUACCCUUAAUUCUUGUGUUAAUACUUAAUAGUGCGUUUUGUGUUAAUUGGGCACCCUGUAAUUUAUAUUUUUAAUGCAUCGACCAUUGGUUUGGACAUGCUGCUUAACGUUUUUUGUUUCAAAAUAAGUUUGUUUUAUUUGGUGCAAACUUCUUGCUAUAAUGGAACUUUUUAGUGAGUUCAAUAUUGGAGUUUUUCCGAGACUGAUGUCGUUUGAAAUUUAUAGUUCAAUCAUGGAUGUGUUUCCAACUCCGACCUCUUUCAGGACGAGGAAAUGAGAUUUAUUGGCACUUAUAACUUAAAUAGAAGAAAAAUAACAUUUUCAAAUCUCUUAGGUGUAAAAAUAAACAUCUCUUAUAAAAAGUCAUAAAAAAAAGUGGCUUAUACACUAAUUUUAUACUUUAGCUUGUAUAGUCUCUUAAUUUUGAUUUGAGCUAGUGAAGUCACUAUUUUGAGUGAAGGUAACAAGUACUCUGGUGCACUAAUUCAGAUUUAUAUACAAGUAUCAUAAUUUUUAAAAAAAAUGAUGUAUAGAAGUUCAAUUAGGGAGGUUUUGUUGAUUUGCUUGGUAGUAAAAUAACUUACGAGCAAAACGAGGUAUAUAAAAAAGACAAAUCAACGAAAAGAAAAAAGAACGAAAAAAGUGAUUGUUCACGUGAUUUGAAAUAAACUUUAGCGGUGAAGGAAAGAAAUAGCAGUAGAUAUAAAUUAGCCAAACUAACUUUGUUUUCUUAAAUAAGAUGAAACAAAGUAUAAUUAUUCAAAAAGACAAACUUGCAAACCGAAAUGUUCCCGCGAAGAAAACGAGGAACCUGAAACAAAAUUUUGAAUAUUAUUUAUCAAAUAUAAUUGAAGGCAACAAGUAUUUUUAUUUUAUGAAAUUGCAUUUUCUCUAAACAAAUUAAGGAAAAUGUUGUUCUCCUAUGGGUGUCAAGUGGGCCGGGCCGGGCCAAUUCGGAAUCGACUCGUUAAAAUUAAUUGGGUUGUGGGCCGGGCUGGGUCCAGGUUGGUGUUAAGUGAGCCAGGUUCAACAGUGAAAAAAUUCAAAAACCAUCCUAAUUCGGCCUACUUAACCCAACCUGGUCAAACCCACCUAAAUCCGGUUAAAAAUUAAAAAAAAAAACAAACUUUUUUUCAAUAUAUACCCACCUAUAUACAUUUUAAAUAUGUUAAACAAUAUAUAUACACUAUAUAUCUAGUAUAUACUACAUUAGAGUUUAAAAAAUAUAUACACAUACACACAAUUACACAUAUAUAUGCACCAUUCAAAAUAUACGACUACAUGUACUACUUUAAAUAAAACAUAUACUACAACAUAUAUAUACUACAAUAUAAAUAAGUAUAUGCAUAUUAUAGAGUUAUAUACUAAUUUAUAAAACAUAUACACGUGUAUACAUUAAAUAUACAGUUCUAUAGAAGAUAUAGACACAAAUAUACGCACCAUUCAAUAUAUAUGUACUACUUUAAGUAAAACAUAUACUACAAUAUAUGUAUAUACUACAAUAUAGUUAUAUACUAAUUUAUAAAACAUAUACUCACGUAUACAUAAAAUAUACACGUCUAUAGAAGAUAUAUACACAAAUAUACGCACCAUUUAAUAUAUAUGUACUACUUUAAGUAAAACAUAUACUACAAUAUAUGUAUAUACUACAAUAUAGUUAUAUACUAAUUUAUAAAACAUAUACACUACAACUUCGUAACAUAUACACCGUACGACAUAUAUACGUCUAUAGAAGAUAUAUACACAUAUAUACGUACCAUUCAAUAUAUAUGUACUACUUUAAAUGAAAUAUACUACAAUAUAUAAUUAUAUAUAAAUUUAUAAAAUAGAUACACAUGUAUACGUUAAACAUAUACGUCUAUAGAAGAUAUAUAUACACAUAUAUAAAUUAAUAAUACUUGAUAGUAAAUUAAUAAUAUAUUAAAACUAAGUUAUAGUUAAAUCCAAUUUUCAAAAAAAAAAAAGAAAAACUGAAUCGGGCCGGGCCGGAUCGGUUAACUGGCUGUUCCUAAUCGGGCUUGGUCCGGGCUGGGUUAACCAGGCCCAAAUCAAUAAAAAAAACUGGCCUGGGAACUGGUACCCUAAUGCCCUAGAGCUUAUCGGGACGGGUCAAACCGGGCUGAUUUUUGUAAGUGGGCCGGAUAAGCCCAGUUCGUUUGACACCCUUACCUGUGAAGCUCUGUCAAUUUCAUUAGUUGAGUUAUGUUCAUAAAUAAACUUGUGGACUUGGUAGUGAAGACCUUUUUCUUUUUCCUGUAUGACUGUCUUGGAGUCUGAUUAAUUUGGAUUCACAUCGUAUGUUUGUAGAACACUACUUUUAGCAUAUUGAACAUUCAACCACUAUCCAUCCACACACUCCUUAAUUUAUCCCCCCUAAUUUAUUUAAGCUCCAAUAUGAUUAUGUGACUUGUUUGCACUCCUUCACAUGUGUAGAAAUCCACACCACAUUUAGUUAUAAUUUAUUUAUUCAUUUUUUAACUAUAUCCAAGUGAUGGUCUAUAACAGUAUACAAGAUCAUCGUGGUCUACGCAUAAGCAUGAUAUCAUUCGAUGCACUUCUAAAGGUGUAAGUCUACGGUAUACCAGUCUAAUCGAUGGAUGACAUAGGUCAUGAUCUAUGAAGGUCUAUUAAGUGUCACCACCACUCCAAGAUUAUCUAUUUAAAUCUUUUUUUAUUAAAUUAUUUUCUUCCACCAGCCCCAAAACAUGUUAUUAUCUAUUUAAAUUUAUUUUUAAUUUAAUUAUUUUCUUCCAUAUGUCCUAAAACGUGUUAUUAUCUAUUUAAAUCAUUUUUAAUUUAAUUAUUUACUUCCACCAGCCACAAAAAACAAGUCAUAAUUUGUUUAAAUCUUUUUUAAUUAAAUUAUUUUUUAAUAAUAUGUUAUUAUUUGUUUUAAUUUAACCGAUGACCAUCGAUUCAUAUACUCUACGAUCGAUGGAUAUGUAAAGUCGAGAAAAUACUGUGUAUACAAUCGAUGAUAGAUUAUAUAUUACUUUUUUACUCUUAAGGAAAUUAGUCAAGCUACAGUACUGUAAAUUGAAAAGAUAUACAUAUUUGAUUCGAGUUUUUGUCUGUAAAGAAGAGUAACCGUCAUAUAGAAAAACCAGGGAUCACAACAAAGAAGGUAAAGGUAAUGUUCAAAGAAACUGAAACAUAGUUAUAUUAAAAUUGUUCAUUGCAUUAUAUUAUAAAAUUAACAGCAAAAAGGGCAAAAUAGAAGAAGCUUUCUUGUAGGCUUUCUUCUAACAAGAUCCUUUAGAAGAAAGCCUACAAGAAAGCUUCUUCUAUUUUGCCCUUUUUGCUGUUAAUUUUAUAAUGUAAUGCAAUGAACAAUUUUAAUAUAACUAUGUUUCAGUUUCUUUGAACAUUACCUUUACCUUCUUUGUUGUGAUCCCUGGUUUUUUUAUAUGGCGGUUACUCUUCUUUACAGACAAAAACUCGAAUCAAAUAUGUAUAUCUUUUCAAUUUACAGUACUGUAGCUUGACUAAUUUCUUGAAGAGUAAAAAAGUAAUAUAUAGUCUAUCAUCGAUUGUAUACACAUUAUUUCCUCGAAUUUACAUAUCCAUCGAUCGUAGAGUAUAUGAAUCGAUGGGUCAUCGGUUAAAUUAAAACAAAUAAUAACAGAUUAUUAAAAAAUAAUUUAAUUAAAAAAGAUUUAAACAGAUUAUGAUUUGUUUUUUGUGGCUGGUGGAAGUAAAUAAUUAAAUUAAAAAUAAUUUAAAUAGAUAAUAACACGUUUUAGGACAUAUGAAAGAAAAUAAUUAAAUUAAAAAUAAUUUUAAAUAGAUAAUAACAUGUUUUGGGGUUGGUGAAAGAGAUUAAUUAAAUAUAAUAUGAUUUAAAUGGAUAAUCACAUGUUUUGAGGCUGGUGGAAGAAAAUAAUUUAAUAAAAAAAGAUUUAAAUAGAUAAUCUUGGAGUGGUGAUGACACUUAAUAGACCUUCGUAGAUCAUGACCUAUGUCAGCCAUACAAAUAAUAACAGAUUAUUAAAAAAUAAUUUAAUUAAAAAAGAUUUAAACAGAUUAUGAUUUGUUUUUUGUGGCUGGUGGAAGUAAAUAAUUAAAUUAAAAAUAAUUUAAAUAGAUAAUAACACGUUUUAGGACAUAUGAAAGAAAAUAAUUAAAUUAAAAAUAAUUUUAAAUAGAUAAUAACAUGUUUUGGGGUUGGUGAAAGAGAUUAAUUAAAUAUAAUAUGAUUUAAAUGGAUAAUCACAUGUUUUGAGGCUGGUGGAAGAAAAUAAUUUAAUAAAAAAAGAUUUAAAUAGAUAAUCUUGGAGUGGUGAUGACACUUAAUAGACCUUCGUAGAUCAUGACCUAUGUCAGCCAUCGAUUAGACAGGUGUACCGUAGACUUACACCUUUAGAAGUGCAUCGAAUGAUAUCAUGCUUAUGCGUAGACCACGAUGAUCUUGUAUACUGUUAUAGACCAUCACUUGGAUAUAGUUAAAAAAUGAAUAAAUAAAUUAUAACUAAAUUUGGUGUGGAUUUCUACACAUGUAAAGGAGUGCAAACAAGUCACAUAAUCAUAUUGGAGCUUAAAUAAAUUAGGGGGAUAAAUUAAGGAGUGUGUGGAUGGGUAGUGGUUGAAUGUUCAAUAUGCUAAAAGUAGUGUUCUACAAACAUACGAUGUGAAUCCAAAUUAAUCAGACUCCAACACAGUCAUACAGGAAAAAAAAAAAAGGUCUCCACUCCCAAGUCCACAAGUUUAUAUAUGAACAUAACUCAACUAAUGAAAUUGACAGAGCUUCACAGGUAAGGGUGUCAAACGGACUGGGCUAAUUCGGCCCACUUAAAAAAAUCAGCCCGGUUUGACCCAUCCAGGUAAGCUCUAGGGCAUUAGAGUACCAGUUCCCAGGCCAAUUUUUUGUAGUAUAUUUCAUUUAAAGUAGUACAUAUAUAUUGAAUGGUACGUAUAUAUCUGUAUAUAUCUUCUAUAGACGUAUAUAUGUUGUACGGUGUAUAUGUUACGAAGUUGUAGUGUAUAUGUUUUAUAAAUUAGUAUAUACUAUAUAUAUAGUGUGUAUAAAUAUUGUAGUGAAUAUAUAUUGUAAUAUAUUUUAUUUAAAGUAGUACAUAUAUAUUGAAUGGUACGUAUAUAUNNNNNNNNNNNNNNNNNNNNNNNNNNNNNNNNNNNNNNNNNNNNNNNNNNNNNNNNNNNNNNNNNNNNNNNNNNNNNNNNNNNNNNNNNNNNNNNNNNNNNNNNNNNNNNNNNNNNNNNNNNNNNNNNNNNNNNNNNNNNNNNNNNNNNNNNNNNNNNNNNNNNNNNNNNNNNNNNNNNNNNNNNNNNNNNNNNNNNNNNNNNNNNNNNNNNNNNNNNNNNNNNNNNNNNNNNNNNNNNNNNNNNNNNNNNNNNNNNNNNNNNNNNNNNNNNNNNNNNNNNNNNNNNNNNNNNNNNNNNNNNNNNNNNNNNNNNNNNNNNNNNNNNNNNNNNNNNNNNNNNNNNNNNNNNNNNNNNNNNNNNNNNNNNNNNNNNNNNNNNNNNNNNNNNNNNNNNNNNNNNNNNNNNNNNNNNNNNNNNNNNNNNNNNNNNNNNNNNNNNNNNNNNNNNNNNNNNNNNNNNNNNNNNNNNNNNNNNNNNNNNNNNNNNNNNNNNNNNNNNNNNNNNNNNNNNNNNNNNNNNNNNNNNNNNNNNNNNNNNNNNNNNNNNNNNNNNNNNNNNNNNNNNNNNNNNNNNNNNNNNNNNNNNNNNNNNNNNNNNNNNNNNNNNNNNNNNNNNNNNNNNNNNNNNNNNNNNNNNNNNNNNNNAAUUUAUUAUAUUAAGUAGCAUAUGUUUUGUAUAUUUGUGUAUAUAUCUUCUAUAGAUGUGUAUAUUUAAUGUAUACAUGUGUAUAUGUUUUAUAAAUUAGUAUAUAACUCUAUAUAUAUUGUAGUAUAUACAUAUAUUGUAGUAUAUAUUUUACUUAAAGUAGUACAUAUAUAUUGAAUAGUACGUAUAUUUGUGCAUAUAUCUUCUAUAGACACGUAUAUUUAAUGUAUACAUGUAUAUAUGUUUUAUAAAUUAGUAUAUAACUAUAUAUAUAUUGUAGUAUAUACAUAUAUUGUAGUAUAUAUUUUACUUAAAGUAGUACAUAUAUAUUGAAUGGUGCAUAUAUUUGUAUAUAUAUCUUUUAUAGAAGUGUAUAUUUAAUGUAUACAUGUGUAUAUGCUUUAUAAAUUCGUAUAUAACUAUAUAUAUUGUAGUAUAUAUGUGUAUAUAUCUUCUAUACACGUAUAUAUUUAAUGUAUACAUGUGUAUAUGUUACAUAAAUUAGUAUAUAGCUAUAUAUAUAUUGUAGUAUAUAUAUAUAUAUAUAUAUAUUGUAAUAUAUGUUUUUCUUAAAGUACUACAUAGAUAUUGAAUGAUACGUAUAUUUGUGUAUAUAUCUUCUAUAGACGUGCAUAUUUAAUGUAUACAUGCGUAUAUGUUUAAUAAAUUAGUAUAUAACUAUAUAUGUAUUGUAGUAACUACAUAUAUUGUAGUAUAUGUUUUACUUAAAGUAGUACAUAUAUAUUGAAUGGUGCGUAUAUUUGUGUAUAUAUCUUCUAUAGACGUGCAUAUUUAAUGUAUACAUGCGUAUAUGUUUUAUAAAUUAGUAUAUAACUAUAUAUAUUGUAGUAUAUACAUAGAUUGUAGUAAAUGUUAUUAUGUUUUACUUAAAAUAGUACAUAUAUAUUGAAUGGUGCGUAUAUUUGAGUAUAUAUCUUCUAUAGAUGUGCAUAUUUAAUGUAUACAUGCGUAUAUGUUUUAUAAAUUAGUAUAUAACUAUAUAUAUAUUGUAGUAUAUACAUAUAUUGUAGUAUAUGUUUUACUUAAAGUAGUACAUAUAUAUUAAAUGGUGCGUAUAUUUGUGUAUAUAUCUUCUAUAGACGUGUAUAUUUUAUGUAUACGUGAGUAUAUGUUUUAUAAAUUAGUAUAUAACUAUAUUGUAGUAUAUACAUAUAUUGUAGUAUAUGUUUUACUUAAAGUAGUACAUAUAUAUUGAAUGGUGCGUAUAUUUGUCUCUAUAUCUUCUAUAGAACUGUAUAUUUAAUGUAUACACGUGUAUAUGUUUUAUAAAUUAGUAUAUAACUCUAUAAUAUACAUAUACUUAUUUAUAUUGUAGUAUAUAUAUGUUGUAGUACAUGUUUUAUUUAAAGUAGUACGUAUAGUCAUAUAUUUUGAAUGGUGCAUAUAUAUGUGUAAUUGUGUGUAUGUGUAUAUAUUUUUUAAACUCUAAUGUAGUAUAUACUAGAUAUAUAGUGUAUAUAUAUUGUUUAACAUAUUUAAAAUGUAUAUAGGUGGGUAUAUAUUGAAAAAAAGUUUUUUUUUUUUAAUUUUUAACCGGGUUUAGGUGGGUUUGAUCAGGUUGGGUUAAGUGGGCCGGAUUAGGAUGGUUUUUGAAUUUUUUUACUGUUGAGCCUGGCCCACUUAACACCAACUUGGACCCGGCCCGACCCACAGCCCAAUUAAUUUUAACGGGCCGGUUUUGGAUUGGCCCGGCCCGGCCCACUUGACACCCAUAGGAGAACAACAUUUUCCUUAAUUUGUUUAGAGAAAAUGCAAUUUCAUAAAAUAAAAAUACUUGUUGCCUUCAAUUAUAAUUGAUAAAUAAUAUUCAAAAUUUUGUUUCAGGUUCCUCGUUUUCUUCGCGGGAACAUUUUGGUUUGCAAGUUUGUCUUUUUGAAUAAUUAUACUUUGUUUCAUCUUAUUUAAGCAAACAAAGUUAGUUUGGCUAAUUUAUAUCUACUGCUAUUUCUUUCCUUCACCGCUAAAGUUUAUCUCAAAUCACGUGAACAAUCACUUUUUUCGUUCUUUUUUCUUUUCGUUGAUUUGUUUUUUUUUAAGUUAUUUUGCUACCAAGCAAAUCAACAAAACUUCCCUAAUUGAACUUCUAUACAUCAUUUUUUUUUUUAAAUUAUGAUACUUGUAUAUAAAUCUAGAUUAGUGCACCAGAGUACUUGUAACUUCACUCAAAAUUGUGACUUCACUAGCUCAAAUCAAAAUUAAGAGACUAUACAAGCUAAAGUAUAAAAUUAGUACAUAAGCCAUUUUUUUUUAUGACUUUUUAUAAGAGAUGUUUAUUUUUACACCUAAGAGAUUUGAAAAUGUUAUUUUUCUUCUAUUUAAGUUAUAAGUGCCGAUAAAUCUCAUUUCCUCGUCCUGAAAGAGGUUGAAGUUGGAAACACAUCCAUGAUUGAACUAUAAAUUUCAAACGACAUCAGUCUCGAAGAAACUCCAAUAUUGAACUCACUAAAAAGUUCCAUUAUAGCAAGAAAUUUGCACCAAAUAAAACAAACUUAUUUUGAAACAAAAAACGUUAAGCAGCAUGUCCAAACCAAUGGUCCAAUGCAUUAAAAAUAUAAAUUACAGGGUGCCCAAUUAACACAAAACGCACUAUUAAGUAUUAACACAAGAAUUAAGGGUAUCCAAUUGAGAAACUUCAUAUGAUGGAAGUCUCGUUAAGUUUUCAAUUAAAACAAAGUACAAAAAUUAUAGUUUUAACAACAAAUCAAGUUUGAUCAACCUUGAGAAAAAAGAAGAAGAAGAAGCAAGUUGUCACCUUUAACGGAAAAUGGAAUAAAGCAAUUAGCCUUGACAAUUUUUUUGUAACCCUAGAAUAAGGAAAACCACAAAGUUACCAUUGAUAAUAAAAGGUACCCUAUUUGUUGUUUCCUCCAUUGGCAUUGUAACUAGGGACUCAACAAUCCGCCAAACAGGCUGCCACCCCGCCAGCAGUGGUGUCGGAUCUUGCGACGGUGGUGGUUGAGCUUGGCACGGUUGUGAUGGUGGUUGACGAACCUGUCACAUCUGCGUUGGUGGUGGUGGAAUCUGCUAUGCCUAUGACAUUGGUGGCGAAGGCUGUCAUGGCUGAAGUUGUACAUAUGAUGAGGGAUGAAACCACAUGCUUAGUUGUCCUUCCUGACCGUCCGCUGCAUUCGCGCUAAUUUUUACGAGUUUUACAUGGUGAUUUUAUAGAAAGGGUUGAUAUUUUUUAAAUUAAAACACAUACAGAGAGAGAAAUGGAUGAAGAGUAGAAGAGAAAAGUACUAAUUGUGAUCUCUUACUAUUCCAAUCUACCCUUGGUUUUAUUACCAAAGAAAAAGGAAGUGGGAAAGAAGCGGUUGACUUAAGUUCAUUAUUUCAUCGAAGAGGACCGUAUGAAAUAAGAUGACGUCACGUAUUGUGUGGGUCUUCUUCGAUCAAAAUAAUGGACUUAAGUUCAUUAAUGAUGCGGAAUCCACUUCCCUUUUCCUUCGAUAAUAAAAAUAAAGUUGAUGAUAAGUGUCCUUUUAAUUUUCUUCAAGUUCUUACUUGAAUUAAUAACACAUGACAUAAGUUAAAUUUAAUGAUUAAGAUUUAAUUGAUCAAACUAAAUCCAUGAUAUAUUCGAUUCCACAAAUUAUUGUAAUUCAAUAGUCUUAUCAAUAUAUUAUCUUUUUUCAUAAAUAUAUGAAAUAACAAUCUCUCUUCCCACUUUUUUUUCAUAAGCAAUAUUUAUCUUUUAAUUUCAUUUUAAAUUAAUCUACUUAUUGCAUUUUUCCCUUGGAACUUUCUUUAUGACAUUAGCCAUGGUAUAGAUGAUGAUAGAUCAAUCUUUUAUAACUAGGUGCCUUUUUUUAAAAAAGAAAAAUAUAAGGUUGAAAGUUUUUCUUAUUAUUGAGUUGUCGAUAUAUUUUCCUAAUGGAUAAAUUGAUAGAAAGAUAACAAUAUAUCUAGUUACAACACAUGGAAAUUGAAAAAAACGAGGCCUAGAGCGAGGGAUCUCAAGAACAGAUCCUUUUUGAGUACUGUUGAGAAGGUUAGAUUAAUUCUUCAUGACUUGCUAUUUUUGCUGGGCUAGUUUAAUAUUAGAGAAUAAUAUAGAUAAUGCUAGCUCAAUAUGGAGAUUUUUUUGGUAGUCUAAGUACCGUGGAACAAUAAAAAUAAAAUUCAUAAGAUAGAUUACAUAUUUAUAUAUAUAUCAGUCCAUUUCUUUCCGCUAUUCAAGGACAAUAGGCUUCCAAGGCAUGUGAAAUCUUCAUUAUUGAACUCACCAUUCGUUCCUGGUUUCACGUCAAGGAUAAAAAGCUUAGGACUUUACAGAAAAAUGACAUCUCCACCACAAAUUACGAGUGGCAUUUUCAAUUUUAUUUGUGACAUUGUUCCAAGGGACGAGAUAAAUAGAGAGGCUAUGGUGGGCGAAAUAGCUAGGGGAGGGAGCAGUGGACAAGGUAAUUCUGAUUGUCAAAGUUAACUUCGUCAUUUCAUUACCUUAAAUCUCCUAGAAACUAAUAAUGAAAAGGAUACUGGAACAGAUACCUAGUUGAGAGAUCUCUUUCAGUAUUAGUCAUGAUUUGUGUUCUUGAAACUUGAGCAAUAUUAUUAAAUGUAUACCUUUUGGUAACCCUAAAUAUUGUCAUACUGAUGUCGCAGUAACCUUAAUUAAAUACUGCAGGAGAGCAACAAUGGUAAGAAAGUUGGGACAAAAUGAUUUUGAGCUACAUGUCAAUAUGUCUGAGAGGAUCUAGAAACGUUAGAAUUCACUUACUGUCAAUCUAAACAGUAUCAGGAUGCAACUUGGAAUAUGAUUGAGAAAUUUCUUGGUUCAACUGUUGGACGUACAAUAAUAGCAGCAUCUGAAUACAUGUAAAUAAUUUAUGAUGCAUGGUUUUUAGUGAUUCUUAGAGUUUUUACUCAUGUUCUGCGGGCCUUCUAGGCAUGACGCCACUUUGAUUAUUAAAAAUGCAUGCCUUAAAGACCUUACAUUGGGUGAAGUACUUCAAACCCUGAAUAUAUGAUUAUCAAUCUAAAGCGUUGGAUGGAAACUUGCUCUGAUCGGCAACCCAUUAUAUCAAUCUUCCAGAAACUAAAAAUGAUAAGAAUACAAUUCUUACCUAGAAGGCACACAAUGACACAGAACAUGAGUAAUAACUUUGAGAAUCACUAUCAACCAUGUAGCAUAACUUGUUAACAUGCAUUAAGAUAUUGCUAUUAUUGUCAUGCAAAAAAAUAAUCAGGCUCACACGUGAGAGGGCAUGUUGACACUAUAAUUAAAUAAUAAAAACAACUUAAGCUUUUAGAUAAGAUGGUCACACACUUCAAUAGAUGCAACAUUUCAUGUGGGUCCUCUUCGAUCUACAUAAUGGACUUAAACUCUGUUAAUGAUGUGAAACUCACUCCCCUUUUUCUUCGAUAGUAAAAAUAAAGUUGAUGAUAAGUGUCCUCUUAAUUUUCUCUAAAUUUUUGUUUAGAUUAAUAACAUAUGGCAUAAGUUAAAGAUUUAAUUGCCCAAAAUAAAUUCAUGAUUUUAAUUCCAAAAAUUACUGUAAUCCAAUAUUCUUAUCAAUACAUUAUCUUGUUCAUUAAUACAUGAAAGAACAAUCUCUCUUUUCACUUUUUUUUCAUAAGCAAGAUUUAUCUUUUAGUUUCUUUUUAAAUUAAUCUUCUAAUUGUAUUUAUUUUGGAUCUUUCUAUAUAACAUUAUCUAUUGCACAGAUGAUGAUAGUUCAAUAUUUAAGAAAAUAAUCUUCUUAUACAAUUUUUCACUCGUUAAGAAAAUAACUUAAACCAUUAUCGAAUCGACAACUCAAUAAUAAGAAAAACUUUCAACCUUGCAUUUUUAUCUUUUAAAAAAGACACCUAAUUAUAUAAAUAUUGAACUAUCAUCUUCUGCGCAAUAGCUAAUGUUAUAGAGAAAGUUCCAAAAAAAAAUGCAAUAAAAAGAUUAAUUUAAAAAGAAAUUAAAAGAUAAAUCUUGCUUAUGAAAAAAAUGUGAAAAGAGAGAUUGUUCUUUCAUAUAUUUAUGAACAAGAUAAUAUAUUGAUAAGACUAUUGGAUUACAAUAAUUUUUGGAAUCAAAAUCAUGAAUUUUUAUUUUGGGCAAUUAAAUUUUUAACUUAUGUCAUAUGUUAUGAAUCUAAACAAAAUUUAGAGAAAAUUCAGAAGACACUUAUCAUCAACUUUAUUUUACUAUCUUAGGAAAAGGGGAGUGAGUUUCACAUCAUUAAUAGAGUUAAUUCCAUUAUUUUGAUCGAAGAGGACACACAUGAAAUGUGACAUUUAUUGAAAUGUGUGAUCAUCUUAUCUAAAAGCUUAAGUUGUUUUUAAAAUUGAAUUAUAUUGUCAACAUGCCCUCUCACGUGUGAUCAUGAUAUUUUUUUUUCAUGGCCCAAGCACCUGAAAAUUCUUUUUAAUAAUAGGUUGUAAUACCCCAAAAUUUUUCUAAUCUAAAAUUCGUUCCUAGAACCUCAAAGGUUUGAAUCAAAGAUAAAUACUUUUUAAUUUCAUGUGGUAUUUUUAAGAUUUUAAAUUUUUAUCAUGUAGGAAAUUUAAUAAGCUUUUCAUCGAUAUCAAAUUCGCCCAAAUCCGACACUCGGUGAAGAAGUUAGAGCAUUUUUAGAAAGCAGUGUUCCCGUUAGAUAGGUUAUCGCAUCACGGUGAGUGCCAAAUUGGCAUUCAUCAAUUUCCAAUGGCUCACCGCGUUAAGACCAUGUCUCGGUGAGUAUAGCAAUGAUCCAUCCAUCAUGAUGCGAUGAAAUCCAUUUCAGCAAUUGUCAAUUCCAGUAAGCCACCACGAUUACAUCGCGUCGCGGUGGUAAUAGCGAUGACCAUCUCACCGCAUCGUGGUGAUGCCUUAGACGGUGCUCCAAUUACAAAUUUUAAUUUUUCAAGGGUUUUUAAGUUAUAUUCCCUCAUUCUAAACACGGGAUUAAAGCCCUAAGAAGCCUAUUAUCUUAUUAUUUUCCCUCAUUCUUCUCAAGAACAAGAACAUUCUCUCUCAAAGGAGCAAGAACCCUAGUUCAAGAAAUCAAGGUCAAACCCAAAAGUUUCUUUAAGAACCUUCAAGAAAGAGUCUCAUAAAGUAUGUUAGAUGUUCAUUCAUGGGCCCCUUUCGCCCAUGAAGUCAAAGAAUUCAUUUUUAAAACUUCAAGAGUUGUGAUUCUUGAUUGGGAUGUAUGAAAGUAGAUUGGGUUCAUGUUUUUGACAUUUAUUGAGUUUAAAUAUAUGAUUAUUGGUAGAUUCGAUGAAUUUGAAUAGCAUGUAUGUUGAAUUGAGUAAUCCACAUAUUAAAAUCUAUGAAUUUGCAGGAUUGAGUAGUAUAAUUGACAUGAUUAUGUGUUGUCCAUGUUUUAGAUCCCAAGUCCCCAAGAAUUUCCCCUAGUAUGUGAUGAGUUACAUGAUAUUCAAGAUAAACCCUUCAAUGUGCAAGUUGAUUAUUGUAAUCAUGUCAAUCCUAAGUGUUUAUGACCUCAUGAAUCAAGUAUGCAUCCUAUGUGUUUGAUAAAUUAUCUAUGAAAAGAAAACAAUGCCAUUAUAGCAUGCAAACAUGGGUUCCUCAUUCAUGUACAAGUUAAUGCAUUAUAAGUGUUUGAUGAAAUGCUCCUAUGAGUGAAAUGUGACCAGGUGAGUAUUCAUAUGCUGUUUAAGAUUUUGCUCCGUUUUAUUAAUUUAUGCUAUCGAGUCCUGGGGGUAUUUAUACUCGACAAUUUAGCUGUAUACCUAGAGCCAAGUGUCAGUUUCAAGAUAAUCUCAGUCAAGCCAUGUUCAAUAGAUUUCAGUUAGUUACAGAACUCAAGAAAGCUCAGUAGAUUCAGAAAUUAGUCUCAGUCUAUGUAACACCCUAAAUUUAGUAUCCGAGAUGCUACACAAUUCCUAUGAUCCCGAAGGACCACAAGCUAACCCAUGACUGAUAUCUGUACCUGUACACAGCAUAACAUACUGUAUAUAAAUGUGAAAAUAAAGACUGGUAAGCCAUAAGGUUCAAAACUGCAUAACUGGUAAAAUAUAACAUCUGAGAGGGGUAAUAUAAUACCUAAAACAACUGGAUAAAAUUGAAACAACUAUCUGAACAUGCUGGUCUGAAAGCCUCUAAACUAAGUGUCUGAAUAAGAAGUUGAAGGACAUAUCUCCAACUAACUCCAUCUACUGAAAUAAACUAAGUAAUGAGAAAAUAAGAAUAGUAAUCAUGUCCCCGAAGAAUGAGGACUCACUGCAAACUCUGACUACAAAAAUAGAAAUGCUACUGCUGAUCUGGAGCUCGUGUCUUUGAACCUAUGGCAUAUAAAACACCAUAGCGCGAAUGCAUCAGUACGACUAAAUGUACUGAGUAUGAAAGUGAGGUAGGCUAAAUGCAAGGAUUUAUAUGCAUGAACAUAAACUGACUGACUGUCUAACAUGAACGUUAGAAUACAAGCAUAAACAUGAAACUGUAACUGAAUUUGUGAUAACAUAAUUACUGAUAACAUAAGAUACUGAGGACUGAUAUAAAUGAUAUAAUUAAGCGACUGUGUAUGACAAUCUAAGUUCUGAUGGAACUAGCUGAGUUCCGUGCUGUACUGAGUUAACUGUAUCUGACAGUCCUGAAAUCUGAAGAACUAUAUGAGUUCUUUUACUGAGACUUAUUUUGAGACUGUGAGAAGUAGUCAUCUAACUGACAUGCCCCAAAUAUGCUAUUAUAGCUAAGUUGGGGUCCAAUCUAUAACCCUAAUUGGAAUGGUGUUAAUACCGCGCCACUAGUAAGGAAAAGUUGUGGGUGACCCUCAUCUGAUAGUAUCCCCCAAAAGAGAACGGUGGGACCCUCAUAUGACAGUGUUAAUCCACCUCAUCAACCCUUGAUCUGAUAGCGUUGAUGUCUCAAACUAUGCUAGCUACAUAGUUUUGGAAUGCAAGGAUUGCUUCUAGGAAUCACACCCUCAUCUGAUAGUGUGUAUUCCCAUCCUUGGGUUCACUCGAUGCUAAUCUCUACUCCCAACUAGAUAGAUACUGAACAUGAAUAACUAAACUAGCUGGAUUGAGUUAACUGAGUUCCGUUAACUAACAAUAUAGUACUGACACUACUGAAUUACUAAGUUUUUUUGAGAUUUACUGAGAUUACUGAGUAUACUGAGCCUUUGCUGAGUUACAUUUCUGACUGAGUUAUAAUGAACAUGGCUUGACUGAGGAUAUUGUUAAAACAUAACACUGUCUCUAGGCGCACAACUACAUUUUUCGGGUACAAGUACCCCCGAGACUCGAUAGAAGGAAAUUGACAAGACACGACAUUCUUGAGUAUAAGAUCACCAUCAACAAUCCAUAAUACCAUAAGUCGGGGAUUUCAUGGAGUACAUAGUUAUUAAAAUCUUGUACAUAAAUAGGAUUGGAAGUAACCAUGGCAUAAUUUCAUAAGGCUAAUUCAUGAGCAAUACAACAAUAUUUACAAGGCACAUUAAUAGCAUGGGAUUCAUUUGAACGUAAGAAAAUAGCAUACAUUUGAUAUUUAGGUCACAAUCAAGCUACAUUUCAUGGUCUCUAGUCCUUUAAGCAUUUUAUCAAACACCUUACUUGCACAAACUAGGGAAUAGGUGUGACUAUCAAUUUAACAUAAUAUGAUUCCACAAUUUAACUCCAUUGCAUGUAUUUCAACCCUAUACUAGCAUGGUUUCAUGAUAACACGAUAAAGAUUCAAUCUUGGAAGUCAUACAACCAUAAAAACAUAAAUAUAUCACUUCACAACAUAAAUAUCAUGAUAAAUAAUUUAUAAGCGGGAUUCUUGGAAUUCAUGGAUGAAAGGAAUCCAUGAAUGUACACAUUUCAUACCUUCAUUUAUGAUUUCACAAAGAUUGACGGAGAGAUUCUUGACUUUGAACCUUGAAUUUAGAUGCCCUAUUGAAACCCUAAAUUUAUUCUUGAGCAAUUUUUGAGAGAAACACAAUAUUUCGGCUUCUAAAGGGUCAAAUCCCGUGUUGAAGAGUAUAUAUAGGGUGGAAAAGGAUCAUUUUACCCCUUAUAAAUUCGGGUAUGGAAUGCAGAAAUUUGGCCUGGGGUGAUCCACAAGGCGCCGCCCUGCCUAGUCCGCCGAACUUGCAAGGCGUCGCCCCGCCUAGAGCGGUGCUAUAGCCAGGGUGUCAUGGUCCUAUUUCCUUUAGCUACUGGUUUGGGUACCCAAACAUUCCCUUACACUAUUCCAAAAAUUCUGAAACUCACUCGAGAUCUACUAAGACCUUGCCCCAUCGCAACGCAACUUGAAAAUAAGAAAACAGAGGCCGGGAAGGUCAUUAAAUAAAUCCCUGAAGUUUGGAGGCUUAAAAUGAGACUAAGUGUUGAAUACUUAGCUAAAAUUUUCUAAGUAUUGGAGCUUUUGAAGAGCUUAAAGAGCUGAUUUCUAACACGUAAACUUGCGGGAUCUUAUAAUAUCUCCCCCUUGGGAACAUUUAUCCUCGAAUGAGACUGACUGUAAAGACAUAAACUACUGAAAUAUGAUUCCAUGACUUGCAUGAAUGAUAAACUGAAUAUUACAUACUGAACAUACGUAUCUGAUGCAUGUGUAACUGAUUCAUGAAUGCAUGACUGAAUAUGCAAUGGUACACAGUACCAAGUUUGUAAUGAAAUUAUGAAUCGUGAAACUAAAUAAGCUUAAGGAGAAUCAUUACCUUGAGCUGAAUCUAAGUUAGCGGUGAAGAGGUGAGGAUACUUGGUUUUCAUGUCUGCUUCUGCUUCUUAAGUAGCUCCUUCAAUAGACUGAUUCCUCCAAAGAACUUUGACUAAAGGGACAUCUUUGUUCCUCAGUCUACGAGUCGAUAGUCUAGGAUUUCAACUGGAACCUCUUCAUAAGAGAGGCUGUUCUGAAUAUCUAAGCUUUGAAUAGGGACUACAACUAAUGGGUCACCUAUGCACUUCUUGAGCAAAGAGACAUGAAAGACUGUAUGAACUGAGGCUAGAUCUGAGGGCAACUUGAGCUCAUAAGAUACUGAGAAUUUUGAAGUGACCGACAUAUUGGGGACUGAGAUUUUCCUUCUUGUUGAAUCUCUUUACUUCCUUUAUAGGAAAGAUCUUGAGAUAAACAUGAUUGCUAAUAUCAAACUCGAGAUAUUUUCUACGCAUAUCUGCAUAGGACUUCUGUCAGCUUUGAGCAGCCCGAAGUCUCUCUCUAAUCAACUGCACCUUCUUUAAGGCAUCGAAUACUAAGUCAGGCCCUAUAACUGAGGCCUUACUAACUUUGAACCAACCAACUGGAGAUCUGCAUCUCCUACCAUAGAGAGUUUCUAAUGGAGCCAUCUUAAUACUGAAAUGAUAUCUAUUGUUGUGUGCAAAUUCAAUCAAAGGCAAGUGGUCAUCCCAACUUCCCUUGAAAUCAAUCGCACACGCCUUUAGCAUAUCUUUUAAAGUCUGAAUGGUCCUUUCUACUAGACCAUCUGUCUGAGGAUGAAAGACUGUACUGAGAUGAACUUGGGUACCAAGACCCUUUUGGAAUGCUUUCCAAAAAUAAGAGGUGAACUGAGUACCUCUGUCUAAGAUAAUAGAUAAUAGAACAACGUGCAAUCUGACCUACUCCCUGAUGUAGAGUUUGGUGUAAUCUUUGGCUGAAUAAGAGGUAUGAACGAGAAGGAAAUAAGCUGAUUUGGUUAUCCUAUCUACAAUGACCCACACUGAAUUAUGUUGGUGAUGAGUGCGAGGGAAACCCGUUACGAAGUCCAUUUUCACUUCUUCUCACUUCCAAGUAGGAAUAAUGAACUCCUACAUGGGACCACUAGGAUUCUGAUGCUCUAUCUUAACCUGCUGACAUGUAGAGCACUUAGCCAUAAACUCUACAAUAUCUCUCUUCAUCCCACUACACCAAUAGAUCUCCCGCAAGUCGUUGUACAUCUUAGUGGCCCCUAGAUGAAUAGAAUAGCGAGCAUCAUGCAUUUUUACAAGAAUUUGCUGCCUCAAGUAAUCUACACUAGGAACACAGAGACGACCUUGACAACGCAACACACCAUCUCCCCCUUAGGAGAAAACGUCUACUUUCUGGUCUCUGACUGACUCUUUUAACUUGACAAGGCUGGGAUAUCUAUCUUAUUUUUCUUUCAACUCAAAAACUAAAGAUGAUUCUAAACUAUUCUGAACAUAUACACCACCCUUUGAAGAAUCGACUAAGAGAACACCUAGUCUGGCAAGCUCAUGGACUUCCUGAGUUAACUUCUUCUUACUGUCUUCAACAUGAGUAACACUACGCAUAGACAGUCUAUUGAGAGCGUCGGCCACUACGUUGGCCUUGCGCGGAUGAUAAAGAACACUCAUGUCAUAAUCUUUCAAGAGCUCUAACCACCUUCUCUGAGGAAGAUUGAGAUCUUUCUGAGAAAAGACAUACUAAAGACUUUUAUGAUCUGUGAAGACAUCUACAUGAACUCCGUAUAAGUAUUGCCUCUAAAUCUUUAAGGAAAAGACUACGGCUGCUAACUCAAGAUCAUGAGUAGGAUAAUUCUUCUCAUGGGGCUUUAACUGUAUGGAGGCGUAGGCCAUGACCUUACUAUGCUGCAUAAGGAGACAACCCAAACCUACUCUAGAUGCAUCACAAUAUACUACGAACCCAUCUGAACCAUCCGAUAAUGCUAGUACUAGAGCUGAGGUGAGUCGAGUUUUCAACUCCUGAAAACUCUUCUCGCAUAAAUCUGACCACUGAAAUUUGACUUUCUUCUGAGUCAGUCUGGACAUAAGGGAUGCAAUAUAAGAAAAUCCCUUAACAAACCGUCUGCAAUAGCCAGCCAAACCCAAGAAACUCCUGAUAUCGGAUAGAGAGACAGGGCGAGGCUAGUUUCUUACUGCUUCGAUCUUUUGAGGAUUAACUCUAAUGCCAUUAUCGGAAAUACUAUGACCAAGAAAUUUUACUGACCUUAGCCAAAAUUUGCACUUACUAAAUUUGGCAAACAACUGAUGAUUUCUGAGAGUCUAAAGCACUAUUCUGAGAUAGUCUGUAUAAUCCUGCUCACUAUGGGAAUAGACAAGGAUAUUUUCAAUGAAGACUAUGAUGAAUGUGUCCAAGUACUGCUUGAACACCCGAAGUGACCAAAGGACAUGACUAAGAAUUUGAAGUGACCAUACCGAGUAUGAAAAGCUAUUUUUGGAAUAUCACUUUCUCUGAUUCUAUGCUGAUGAUAGCUUGAUCUAAGGUCUCUCUUAGAGAAAUAGCUGGCACCAUGAAGUUGGUCAAACAAGUCAUCAAUUUUGGGAAGUGGAUACUUGUUCUUGACUGUGACUGUAUUGAGAUGACGGUAAUCUAUGUGCAUUCUGAGAGAAUAGUCUUUAUUUUGCAUGAAUAAAACUGGUGCACCCCAUGGGGACACACUAGGCCUGAUGAAUCCCUUAUCUAAGAGAUCUCUUAACUGAUCUUUCAGUUCUUUUAGCUCUGCAGGUGCCAUUCUAUAUAGCGGAAUAGAUAUGGGCUGAGUAUCUGGAAGUAAAUCAAUGUCGAAGUCUAUUUCCCUUUCGUGAGGAAUCCCUGGAAGAUCUUCGGGAAAGAAAUUUUAAUAUUCAUAAAUAACUCGGACUGAUUCAAUAUUAGGAGUUUCAGAACUAGUGUCUUUAACAUGAACGAAAUGAUAGACACAUCCCUUAGAUAUUAUUUUUCUAUCCCGUAGGUAGGAAACAAGCUAACCUCUGAAAGCUGAAGUACUACCUCUCUACUCUAGGAUAGGUUCAUUCAGGAACUAAAAAUGGACUAUUCUAUUUCUACAGUCGACUAUAGCAUAGCAGGAAUGAAGCCAAUCCAUGCCGAGAAUGACAUCAAAAGCACUCAUCUCUAAUUCAACUAAAUUUGUUGAAGUAACUUUCUGAAAUAUCAUAACCGAGCAUUUCCUAUAUACUCGCCGGGCUAUCAUGGUUUUACCCACUGGGUAGAUACUGAGAAGGGAUCUGCUAGAAUUUUGGGACUGACUCCGAAAUCAAUUGCUAUAUAAGGAGUAACAAAAGACAAAGAGGCUCCUGGAUCUAGAAAAGCAUAAAUAUGAACAUGAAAGAUCUGUAACAUACCAGUAACCACAUCAGGAGAAUUUUCUUGAUCCUGCCAGGACUGGAGAGCAUAAAAAUAAUUUGGGCAUUUCCUACUAGUAGCACUGGAGGUGGCACCCUACCGAUUCAGACGAUCGGAUUGAGAUAAAGAGUGAAGAUAACUCUGAUAACCUGACUGGGGGCAAUCUCUGUCAUGGUGGCCUGGCUUUCCACAUCCGAAACAGACAUUGCUAUCAGCUCUACAAACACCCGUGUGGUUCUUACCAUAAGUUUGACAAAGGGGAUUAGUUCGGGCACUACUAACACUACCCUGAGACUUAGAUCCUGGCGCUCUAUCUCUGUUGACGUCUCUGAAUUUUGGCACUGGAGCACUAGAUGAAGAAGGAGCUGAAACUGAUGACUUAGGAUGAAACUAAGAACAAUUUCCUAUCUUUGACUUAGUCUGAUUGAAAUUGAAGUUACCUGUCCUAGUUCUCUUAUUCUGGUUCUCCUUCUGCUUAAUCUUCUACUCUUGUAUUUCAGAGCAUGGGUCAUGAGUAUAGCUAUGUUCAUGCCAUUAUUUAACAUCGCAGUUCUGCAGUCAUUGACCACGCUAUCAUUUACCUUAAAAACAAAAUUACUCAUUUUGGACCGGCUAUCUGCCACUACAUGAGGAGCAUAUCCGGUUAAUUAAGUAAACUUAAGAGAAUACUCUUUCACGGUCAUGUUGCCCUACCUGAGGUUGAUAAAUUCUAACACUUUAUCUUCCCUCAACUUUAGGGGAAAGAAUCUAUCAAGAAAAGCAGAGGCAAACUCCUCCCACUCUACAGACCCUGCAUCAACUGCCCUCUCUGACUUCUACUGCUUGUACCAAGUAUGAGCCACAUCCUGCAACUGAUAUGCAGUUAACUCAGCACUCUCAAAAGUAGUCACCCCCAUGAUGUCUGUAACCUUCUGCACCUGAUCAAGAAAUUUCGAGGGUCUUCGUCUGACUUAGACCCGAAAAAGAAUGGAGGAUUCAUUCGGGUGAAGACUCGAUCCUGGAUGCAGCUGAAUUGGCCAUUGGAUUGGCCAAAAAAAUAGUUGGUUAUUCAUUUUGAGCAAUUACUGACUGAACAAGAGAAGUGAAUGCAGCGUUGAACUCUGCAUGAGAAACAUAUUCAUUUAAGAGAUCUGCUUGGACAGGCUGAGUUCUUCUCUUGGGAGGCAUGUUUUAUAAAUGAAGAGAAGAAAUGGAUUAGAAUAAGAGAUUAACUUGAGAUUAUUCUCACUAGCACGACAUGAAUACUUAAAGAAAGCAAAUUGUUUCUAUAACUAUCACGACCCGAACUGGGGCCCUGACCGUGAUGGAUAUCCCGAAUUAUGAAGACCUGAGAGCCCUUUUAACUUGUAAUCAUAUAAACCAUUCAUACACAAAUAGGAAAUUUGAAAAAUACAUAAUGAACGGAAUCAUGGUCAUGAAUCUGAACACAAUUUAUAAUAUAGAAAGUGAAGCCCAACAAUAACUAGACAAUGUCUGAACCAGUCUGUAAAAUCUCUACUACAUCUGAAAAUAAUAAUUGUCUAAAAACUGGGACAAGGCCCCAGUAGACCAAAAUCAUAAUAAAUGAUAACUGACUGAAAACUAAUAGGCCUUCUGAAAUAUAGAAGGCUCACCAACUGAACUCUGCACUUCUGCUGAAAGAAAUCUACUGCUUGUCAGGACCGCUAGAUUGAGCCUCAGAACCUGGGAGGUAGGGGGUCAAUACAAUUGUACUAGUACAUGAAGAAAUCCAAAAUAAAUUUUUUAUGUAAAUAAAAUAGUUGAGAUCUAGUCAUAAACAUCAUGAAAGAUAUAAUUUUAAAACACAUGGAUACUUUUGAAAAUAUAAAACAUUUCAGUCAAUGCAAUUUUUGAUCUUUGUAUUACUUCUGAGUUAGGUGGCACUCUCCUACAAGUCUGAUAUUCCACGGGCUAUAUGUAAUCCUCCAUUGACUCGGCGGGGAAGCCCCCAAUCCAAGUUUUUUGCAAGGGUUGGAGUCUUUAAAUCUACUACGCCACAGGGACGUCGCCAGCGUACAAUAAUAAUAUACCCGUAUCGGCAAAACAUGGUUUCGGGCAAUGAGUUGUCUGAACUAUGCCUUCUUCGGAGAACCACCUAACGUCUCUUUGUGCCCAUUUUUAACCAUUUCUAAACAUGCAUCAUUCCUAUUUCAACAUCUGAAAAUCUGAUUUCAAAUAUUUAUUCUAUUCUGUUCUGAAUUACCAUGGCAUUAUCUAAAUUGGUGUCGUCACACCAAGACUUGCAAGUCCUAUUUUUGAGACAUAAUGUAUCAUGCAUGAUUCUUUCAUUAAAACUCAAUUCAUACCACCCAAACAUACAAAUAGUAUAAGAUAUUUCAUAUUCCAAAAGAACAAAUCAAAACUAUGCAAGGAUUCUCAUUCUUUCAAUAACCCUGUGGUGGUCCUGAAAUCUUUGUCAAACCAUGCAACUCUUUUCAUUUUAUAUUUAUAUUCAACAUUUUUCAACAUAAACAAUCCUCUCUUUUGAAUUCAAAACCAUAAUCAAAUCAUAAAAUUUAACCAAGACAUUUCGUAUUAUGCUUUUUAGGAUGCAUUUUGAAUCAAUCCAUAUCAUAUGAAAAGUGGGAAAAAUCAUAAAAAAAAGAUGGAUUCUAUGUGAGUCAUGCUCUCAAUUCAAAUAACACUUUAAACACAUACAUACAUAUAUAUAGGAUUUCAAAUCAAUUUGAGGGAAGUCCUAAAGACCAAAUCAGCACCAUCAAGGCUUCUAAAACAUGCUUAAGAAUCGUAAAUUCAAAACCCUUUCCUUAAAAUCAUGAUUUCUAAACCCUUAGCAUAAUUCAUUAAAGAUUUCUUUACCCAUAAAAUUUUAGGAAAACCCCAUGUACCUUAAUUUAUGACUCUUGAAUGAACUCAUGCUUUAGGGAUGCUAUUCGAACAAUUAAUAGGUACUUCUUGUAACCCUCGCAAUGGUGAUUUUGAAUAUCGAAGAAUUAUUGAAAAUCCAUGGUGAAAUCUUAAGAUAUUUUGAUCUUUGGGUUGAAAUCCUAAGAAGUGUUCUUGGUGAUUUUGAGGGAGAAUGACCUUAUUUUGGUUUUAGAGGGAUUUAAUUCUGUGUUAUGGCGAAUAGGGGGUGGAAAAUAAAACUUUUGCCCUUAAAAACGUGAAAACAGAACCUAAAAAUUGGGUGCGUACGACAGAGCAUGCGUCGCACGUUAAUCGUGCAAUGCUAUUGUCUCAGUCACGAAAAUGGCCAUAGCUUUUCACUCAGAUAUCGGAUUUUGGCAAAAUUUGUAUCAUUGGAAAGCUAAUUCGAAGAGAUUUCAUUUGAAAUAUAGUAGGCCCUCUAAUUAUGUAUAUAUCAAGAGUUAUAUUUGAUUGAAAUUGACCCAAGUUUCGACGCUCACUCAACCUCGAACGAUAGGAAAGCUUUCAACUUGUCCUUGAGUUAGGGGACCUCUAUGAUCUUAAUUCAUGCUCAGAUAGGUUCCCACACUACAUAAUUGAUUAACAUGCCAAAUUAGCAUAGGAUUUAUGGUUUUUGGAUUAUCUACGCAUAGAAAUGACAAUUUUUGUUCUAGCCCAAAAUGCGGGGUGUUACAUUAUCUCCCCCUUGGGAUCAUUUAUCCCCAAAUGAUGGGUAGGAAUAUUGAAGCUUAGAGGUAUGGAAUAAUGCAAACAUGAUGCGUCUUCUUAGAAAGGAUAUAACUGAUUUGAAACAUUUAAACUUAUAUCUUGAAACUGAAUUCUAAGCUGACUAGCCCUUACUCUUUUUAAGGAGCUAAUUCAUGCUGAGUGUUUAGGAUCCCCCCCCAAGUGUUUAUGCUCAAAUCACACACAUUGAAUUUGGAAGUGAUAACUUAUGUAAGUACGAAUCAUGAGCCAACAAGAUUUAGAUCAUACAAAGGUAUUACACUGUUUGAGCUAAAAUAGCUGGAAAAAUUUGAGAUUAUGUGCUGAACUCUUAUGAACUGAGUCAUGACUAAAUAACUGAAUCUGAAAAUGAUGUUUGGACUGAACUGAGUUCGCAACUUACACGGAUGGAAUAUAUUAUCUUUUGGGAUGGUCAUACGUAUUGGACUUCGAAUAGUAGGACUAGGUGAAAAUAUGGAAAACCACAGUAAUUUGUCUGCCUGACUAUUAAACUGAAUUAUACUGGACACUUAUACUAAAUUGGAGUAUCUCUUAAACACUAUUUCUAAGGAAGUCCUAGUAGCAUUAGGGAGAAAGGAAUCUUGGACAUGAGUUGCACAAGACAUCAAACUAAGGAAUCACAACAGUGACAUUACUCUAUAGCAUAGAAUAUAGACAUAUAACUCGUAAACUAGGACAGAAUUACAAGGCCUUAGGCAAUGCAACUUCUUACUUUCAAGCUUAGCACACUUCUCGAAUACUCCCUCAACUAUACACCUUAAAUAUCAUACUUAUUCGAUUCAACUAAUAAUUAUCAUAGGGGCAUGAUAAAUCUUUCUAUAUCUUUUUAAAGUUUACACCUUAAGCAUAACGUGCCUUAUCACUUCAAUGACAAACUUUGAACUCUUACUAUGGAUUCACUAGCGCAUAUUGCGUUCCUCCACUUAAAUCCCAACAUGUCAUUCAAGCCUAUAUUUAUAACCACAUAUGAACUUUAAGGCAAACACCCAUAAAGGCAUACUUCAUAUAUUCUCUAAACCACUAUCAAUACAUUUCCCACGUGCUACCUCAAGAACAUACACACACAAAUUUCAACUAACCAUCACAUACAUCAAAGACUUGACCCCAAUAUUACUUCACACUUAUGGCCUUAUCUAAACAAGCAUAAUAUGAUAUUCCAUCAACAAGAAACAUUCACUCAUCACCACAAUCAUUACAUAAGGAGGAGUCCCAAAAAGGCUAGAACAUAAGGCCUUGAAGCAUGGAAGGAUACUAUACGAAACUUGACACUUAACUGAGGCCCGAGGAAUAGCAAAUCAAUAUCAGGGAUUUAUCAAAGUGAUCUGAAUGGAGGCAUACAUGACUAUAAGAUGAAUCUCACCAAUCAUAAGAAGUAUAAAAUGAGUUAUGGGAUCUGAGCAUAUGAUAAUGCUCAACUUACACCUUAAAUUUGUGUAAGGCGAUCGUCGUCAAUAUAUUUACCCAACUUUGGAGUCGGGGUCGAAUUCACAGGGAAUAAUGUGAGUGGCGAUUAAGAUAAUUUGAAGCUAUAGCUACAAGUUCAGUUCAAACAAAUGGUAUGAAAAUAUAAAAUUAAGAUGGGGUAUUGAAAGUAUCAAGUAAUGUUGUCACUUCAAUAUUAAUGUUUGUAAUCAAUAUAAAUGGAAAACCAGAGCUAUGUUUACCAAGGGUUUCGAGAAUUGAUAGAUACGAGGUAAUGCUACAGAUUCUCGGAUGAUUAGAACAGCAGAAUACCCCUGAUGAUUAUACUAUCUGACUUAUCUCUCGACCUCACCAGACAAUUUGUUAUCUAAUUCUCUCAAACUUAGAUAACUUAUCUAUAUCCAAACGGAUGUUAUCUCAGGUAGAUUAAUCUAGUUACGACAUUAAUCAUUAACCAGAAGGUUGGUAGCUUCUGAGUCCCUGUGAUAAUUCCCGUCCUCUAGUCUAUUUCUUCGUUAGAAGCAAAAUAAAACCUAAGGCAUAAUCUAAUGUUUGCAACCACCAGAUUUCAGUUAAAAUCACAGAAUUUCAAGAUGUUCCACUACUCUUUGAAUCCGUUAAACAUCUAGUAUCGUAUCAAACCCCGAUCCAUGGAUCCCAUAACAUCGGCUAAUGGAAUUAGCCGCUCAUAAUUUGAUGAACAAAAUCAAAAGUUGAAUUCAUAAUGAUAAGGAUAACUUACGAUUAGAUGGAAAACAACAAGUAGUUUCUUUAAUUGAAUCCCAAGGUAGAAACCCAAAAAUAGUGGAUAAAAAUAAGAAGAAUAAUUGAUGUAAGAGAACAAUGUUACGUGCCUCUCUUCCCUAGUUUAAUUGUCUCAUAGAUGAUUUAUUAAAUAAUCAAAAACCCUAAAAGAUGCUAUUUAUACUAAAGCCUAAUUAAGGUAAUAAAAUAACAAAAUCACAGCUGGGCUCGGAUUUAGGUGACGUCAUAUUGGUGUUGAUCGUCAGGCUUCUGACGGCGUCUCAGAUAUGUCGUCAGAAGUCGUGCCUUCUUAACCUUUUCUGGCUUACUCUGACGAUGUCCUCCGAUGGCUUACCAGAGGGGUGACGGUGUGUAGCAAAGUCGUCAUACCUUCAUCUUAUUUCACCAUGUUCUGUCCCACUUGAUGGUAUCUUCUGUCGGCUUACCACACUUGUGACGACAUCUUGAGAAUGUCGUCACCUUCAUCCAGCAACUCUUCUUCACUGUUCUUCCUGACGCCUUUUUCUGGUAGCUUACCACAUCUCUGACGGCUUGCAAGAAAUGCCGUCAGACUCAUAUCAGCUCACUUGUACCAGAUUUUACUCUUUUGCUCCAUUGUUAUUUCUUUCCAUGCAUCUUGACUUUCCUACAAAAUCUUAAGAAAUAACAUAAAAAACACCAAUAAUUACUUAAGAACUUACAAUUAUUUCAAGUUAAAAAGUCUUAAAUAUGCUACAAAAAUCUAGCACAUCAACACCCUCAAUUUAAAAUAUUUGCUUGUCCUCAAGCAACUACAUAACACCAUACUAUGAUGCUUAACCAAGAGACACAUAAGAUACCUAUCACAGUUGAUUAUCAAGUUUAGCUCAAAACUCAUGCCACUCCCCACGUUCAAUUACUUAUAAAUCCAAUUGUGCAUAUCAAUGAAGAUUAACAAUGUGACCCAAAGGAAUCAAGAUAUGGCAUCAAUUCAGCAACAAUAACCAUGCAUAUGUACAAGUUACACUACCCAAACAAGUAAACAGCUAGCAAUGCAACCGAUGUGCCCUUACAACAAAUAAGUCCCUCCUCACUCGUAUAUGAACUCAAGCAUGUCAAUACGGGGACGGUCAAGAGAAACUCACUCUCAGAAAGAAAUUCCAAUCAAUGCAUGUCAAAUACCAUAUGCUUUCCCUUAUUUUCACUACCAAGGUGUCCAGACAGGUAAGUUAGGAUCUCUAUAGGUAUUUUCUUCGGCUUGUAAUAUAGGCUAAGGGCUAGUAUGAUAUUCAAUGAUAUUUAGAGUGACUAAGCCUCCUUGGCACUACCUUAACUUUUGGGGUUCACUUAUUAACCUUUUUUUUCUCCUUUUCUUGAUCACACAUUAUUCAGGAUGGAUGUGACUUUUCUUUUUCAUUCUUUUUCUUUUUAUAUUCUUCUUCCACACCACCCAGCUUUUUAUUCUUUUUCACUUAUUCUUUUCCUUUUAUUCUACCUUUCUUCAUACUCAGUUUACAUCACGCACCCCUAUAAUAGCCACCCUCAAUUUAGGUUGUUUACCUAAAUCUAGGUACACAGUAUCCAAGGAGGACCAGGGCCAAAAUAGGUUCAUUAUAAUCUAAACAGGAGGUGAUAGAUGUCAUAGAAAGAAAUAGUCAAUUCAUGCUCAAAAUAGGGAUCAAGAGAUAUCAUGCAUACAGGGAAGGUCAUUUAGGCAAAAAGUGACUUAAAAAUCAAAACGGUCUAUGAUCCUUUCCUAACCCCUAUCUUUAACCAAGGUAAGACUAACCGGGCAAGUUCUGGAUUUAACACACAAAGGAAACUAAGUAAUAUCUCACACACACAUGGCACAAAGGUGCAUCACAAGCUACUACCUAUCCGGUUCAUGCGGUUGUUUAGCAGUGGAUAUCAUGUCACUAGUACUAAUGCCAUAACAAGAUGCACAGUGGUCACACAUAAAUAUAUAUCAUACAGUUAUAAAACAGACCAAUGGAGAGGUGUUUCUCAGUCUAAAAAAUCAACAAAAAUAUGUCAACUGCUCUAGAUACUUAUUUUUAUCCAGUUAACCACAAAACAUCACAAAACAAACACAGUAAGCCUAAACUUGAAGCUCUACUAGAAACAAGACUCCGAAGAAAAGAGGCACGACAAAAAAACCCCCAGGAGGACAUCAACACCCAUAAGUAGCCCCACCCUCAACUUAAUAUCAUGCAUUGUUCCCAACACGUCAAAUUAAAACAAGAGAGUUAGAACUAUACCUGUGGCACCAUGGGUGCGAAGAUCUGAUGUCAAUCACAUAAUAUGAAUACAAACAACAAAAUACCUUGGGUUGCCUCCCAAGCAGCGCCUGGUUUAACAUCGUGGCUCGCCUCAGUUAUCUUGACUACUCAGACUUCGUCAAGAUAUCUUGUUGAUAAUUAUUUAUAUCUCCAUUAGGAGGAUUUAAAACGCCGGCCCAACUUUUGAUCAAUACAUCUUCAGGGUGUGUUGGGUAAAUAUGAGGGCAUGAUGAGGAAUGUUCUAUCAUGCCACUUCGAAGACUUGAACUGCUUGCCUAAUUUUGCAUCAAAAUUUUGUGUGGGAUUAUUUGGCAACGGUGAGAAUCUUAAAUAGCCACUAAAUGGAGAUCGAUCUUUAAGCUCCUUGGCCUUCAAUAUUGGGGUUGUAGUAUACCCUUUUGGAAGGAUAAACUCCAAAAUGUAAGAAUCUUCCUCCUUAUUUUCAAAAUUUAUUAUUUGCUUGGGUGAUUCAACUUUCAUCACAUCCACUAAGCAUAAUGUUGAAAAGUGAUUCGAAUGAGGACUAUCCCUCAAUUUUGGAAUAACUUCCCUAUUAGUAUUUUUACCUCGAAAUGGACUAGAGUCUUUACGAGGGUUGUGCUUAAUUUAUUCUUUUGACUCUAAUACCAUUUCCUCAUCCUUGGCAUCUUCAUUAAUGAAUGGUUCGGUUGGUUGGGAAAUCACGAAAGGUUGCUUAACAUCAAGCUCAUCAUCAACAUAGGAUUCUUGAUCUUCAUCCUCACAGUCUUCCAUUAUUUUAAAUGAUUCCGCAGACAAGAUAUCAUCUAAACAUAAUGUGAAAGAGUGCUUUGGAUGAUUGACCUCUAUAUCCAUCUCUUCAUGAAUGAUUGGCCUUAUGUCUUGAUGCAUAUCACAUACGAUAUCAUAUGUUUCUCUCUGGAUAUCUAACAUUUCUUGUAACAUAGCUUCCAUGCUACUCUUUUUGGUGCUUUGUUCUUCCUUUUCUUGACCAUAAGACCUGUCAGACUCAUAAGAAGAACUAGAAUUUGGGUUAGCACAAUAGGGGGAUGGGGCAUUAGGGCAAUCACUCCAAUAUCCAUCUUGAUCACCACAUAUAGAACAAUCAUAUUCCUGAUAGGAUGGAGAUGGUGCACACAUCUCUCUCCGAGGAGCAUAUCCACAGUCUUGCCAAAAGUGAGGUAUAUCACAAUAUGGACAUGGAUCAUUAAGAUAAUAUUUCCAACCACCAAGAUCAUGUUCAUUCCACGAUGCCACAGUAAUAAGUAAACAAAAAUAAAAAUCUACCUAACAUAAGAAAUAAAAGAAAACUAAAUUUUUUUUUUACAAGUUUGAAUUCAAGCAAGUAGGCUAAAAUACCAAACUAACUCAAUACGCCAAAUUGUUCCCCGGCAACGGCGCCACUUUUGAUAACGCUCAACUUAUACCUCAAAUUAGUAUAAGGCGGUCGUCAUCAAUAUAUUUACCCAACUUUGGAGUCAGGGUCGAAUCCACAGGGAACAAUAUGAGUAGCGACUAAGCUAAUUUGAAGCUAUAGCUACAAGUUCAAUUCAAACAAAUGGUAUGAAAAUAUAAAAUUAAGAUGGGGUUUUGAAAGUAUCAAGUAAUGUUGUCACUUCAAUGGUAAUGUUUGUAAUCAAUAUAAAUGGGAAACUAGAGCUAUGUUCACCAAGGGUUUCGAGAAUUGACAGAUACUAGGUAAUGCUACAGAUUCUUGGAAUGAUUAGAACAGCAGAAUACCCCUGACGAUUAUACUAUCUGGCUUAUCUCUCGACCUCACCAGACAAUUUAUUAUCUAAUUCUCUCGAACUUAGAUAACUUAUCUAUAUCCAAAUGGAUGUUAUCUCAGGUAGAUUAAUCCAGUUACGGCAUUAAUCAUUAAACAGAAGGUUGGUAGCUUCCGAGUCCCUGUUGAUAAUUUCUGUCCUCUAGUCUAUUUCUCCGUUAGAAGCAAAUAAAACCUAAGGCAUAAUCUAAUGUUUGCAACCACUAGAUUUCAGUUAAAAUCACAGAAUUUCAGGAUGUUCCACUACUCUUUGAAUCUGUUAAACACCUAGUAUCAUAUCAAACCCUAAUUCAUGGAUCCCAUAACCCCAGCUAAUGGAAUAAGCCGCUCAUGAUUUGAUGAAUGAAAUCACAAGUUGAAUUCAUAAUGAUAAGGAUAACUUACGAUUAGAUGGAAAACAACGAGUAGUUUCUUCGAUUGAAUCAUAAGGUAGAAACCUAAAAAUAGUUGAUAAAAAUGAGAAGAAUAAUUGAUGUAACAAAGCAAUGUUACGUGCCUCUCUUCCCUAGUUUAAUUGUCUGAUAGAUGAUUUAUUAAUUAAUUAAAAACCCUAAAGAUGCUAUUUAUACUAAAGCCUAAUUAAGGUAAUAAAAUAACAACAUCAAAGCUAGGCUCGGAUUUAGUUGACUGCAUAUUAGUGUUGAUCGUCAGGCUUCUGACGGCAUCUCAGAUAUGUCGUCAAAAGUCGUGCCUUCUUAACCUGUUCUGCCUUACUCUGACGAUGUCCUCUGAUGACUUACCAGAGGGGUGAGGGCGAGUAAAAAAUGUUGUCAGACCUUCAUCUUAUUUCACCAUGUUCUUUCCCACUUGACGACAUCUUCUGACGGCUUACCACACUUGUGAUGGCAUAUUGAGAAUGUCGUCACCUUCAUCCAGCAACUCUUCUUCACUGUUCUUCCUGACGCCUUUUUCUGGUAGCUUACCACAUCUCUGAUGGCUUGCAAGAAAUGUCGUCAAACUUAUAUAAGCUCACUUGUACCAAAUUUUACUCUUUUUCUCCAUUGUUAUUUAUUUCCAUGCAUCUUGACUUUUCUACAAAAUCUUAUGAAAUAACAUCAAAAACACCAAUAAUUACGUAAGAACUUACAAUUAUUUCAAGUUAAAAAGUCUUAAAUGUGCUACAAAAAUCUAGCGCAUCAACACCCUCAACUUAAAAUAAUUGCUUUUCCUCAAGCAACUACAUAACACCAUACUACACUGCUUAACCAAGAGACACAUAAGAUACCUAUCACAGUUGAUUAUUGAUAACGCUCAAUCUACAGCUCUCGUGGGAGUGUAAAGCGGUCGUUAGCAAAUAUAGAACCCAACCUGGGUUGGGUAUCGAUCCCACAGAGAAUAGCUUGGCCAACAAGCAAGAGAAAUUACUAGACUUUUAGUGCAAGUCUCGUAGGAAAGGGGGGAUUGUAGUAUGUAACCAAAACAAGAAUGUAAGAACUGAAAAUAGCAAAAUAAAGAGAGAUUGUCACGUGUGUUGUAAACAAUGAGAAUUGAGGCGUUGGGGUUAUGUCCACCUUCUGAGGUAUACGUCUCUAUUGGCUAUGAGUGUGUAGAGUCUUGACAUGUAAUUGCUUAUAGAGAAUUGUAGUCGAUGGUAAAUCCAAGCGUCUCUCGACCUAAACAAGGACUAUUUCACUUUAACUCUCUCGAGCUUAAAGCGUGACUAACGGUACGAAUUCUCCAAGAAGUUAGUCCAGGUACGGCACUAGCUUUUUAAUAGGAAAGGGUGUCCUACUACCUUGACAUUAUCUCUUUUCCAGACAAAUAACUUUUCUCUCGAACAAGUCAGAUGUUAGACUGGCGUUGGUCUAUGCGUCUUCUUUUCUAGACAAAUAACCUUUCUCUCGAACAGGUUAGAUGUUAGAAUGGCGUGUUCUUGUGUUUGAACCGCAAAGAAUGUAGAUUUAAGAUGAAGAGAAUAAUGAUAUAAGCAAUAUACUUGUCUUGAACUCACAAACUCAUAGCUAUAGAUAGUAACUCAUUCGGCUUCCAUAACCCCAACUAAGAGAUUUAGUUACCCAUGAAUGCGAAGGAUAUCACGCUUUGCAUGGUGGAUGGCGUGAAUAGUAGGUGUUUGGCGUGUGGUUUUAGUGAUUCCGUAGCAAGUAACGAUUCUCUUGUUGUGGAAUUUAAGAGUAGAAGAAUGAAGAAUUGAGAAUGGGUUGUAGGAAGAUGUCUUAAUUGUAAGGAGAUGAAUGAAUUGUCAGAAUGUCUCCCUUCUUGAAAAUCUCUAACAUGAUAGGGUAUUUAUAAUACUCCUAUCCUACUCCUACUAAACUAAUAAAAUAAAUAACCAAAUCCUAAUAUACUAAUGAAAUCCUUGACCCAAUUGUACUAGGGUAAGGUUACAAAAUUAUAAUCCAAAUAGAAUGAUGAAACACAUAACCUAAUUGCACUAGGUUAAUGUAUUAUGGCAAAAAUCCAGCUUUGUGUCUGUAAGUCCCAAAGUCUUCAGAAAUGCUGUUUUAGCCCGGGACAGAUUUUCCAUGCAGCAGAUUUAGUCCUUUAUGCGUCCAGCUCCUUUCCAUCUCGUUUGUGAGCUUUCUUUUGCGUCAAGUAAGCCAUAAAUUGCUGUAUUUUGCAUCAUUUAUACCUGAAACUUUCCUAAUCACAUUUGUUAGCUCAUUUACAGGAAAAAGGACUAAAAGUGUACGAAAUAGAUAAUUAGUUCUCGAAACUAGGCUAAAAUAUGGGCAAAAUAUAUUGAUAUAGGCGCGUAAUUUCGCCUAUCAUCAAUUAUCAAGUUUAGCUCAAAACUCAUGCCACUCUCCAUGUUCAAUACUUAUAAAUCCAAUUGUGCAUAUCAAUGAAGAUUAACAAUGUGACCCAAAGGAAUCCAAAUAUGACAUUAAUUCAACAACAAUAACCAUACAUAUGUACAAGUUACACUACCCAAACAAGUAAAUAGCUAGCAAUGCAACCGAUGUGCCCUUACAACAAAUAAGUCCCUCCUCACUCAUAUAUGAACUCAAGCAUGUCAAUAUGGUGACAGUCAAGAGACAUUCACUCUCAGAAAGAAAUUUCAAUCAAUGCAUGUCAAAUACCAUAUGCUUGCCCUUAUUUUCAUUACCAAGGUGUCUAGACAGGUAAGUUAGGAUCACUAUAGGUCUUUUAUUCAGCUUGUAAUGUAGGCUAAGGGCUGGUAUGAUAUUCAAUGGCAUUUAGAGUGACUAAGCCUACUUAGAACUACCUUAACUUUUGGAGUUCACUUAUUAACCUUUUUCUUUUUUUUCUCCUUUUCUUAAUCACACAUUAUUCAGGAUGGAUGUGGCUUUUCUUUUUCAUUCUUUUUCUUUUCUUAUUCUUCUUCCACGCCACCCAGCUUUUUAUUCUUUGUCACUUAUUCUUUUCUUUCUAUUCUACCUUUCUUCAUACUCUGUUUAUAUCACACACCCUAUGGUAGCUACCCUCAACUUAGGAUGUUUACCUAAAUCUAGGUACACAGUAUCCAAGGAGGACUAGGGCCAAAACAGGUUCAUUAUAAUCUAAACAGAAGGUGAUAGGUGUCAUAGAAAGAAAUAGUCAAUUCAUGCUCAAAAUAGGGAUCAAGAGAUAUCAUGCAUACUGGGAAGGUCAUUUAGGCAAAAAGUGACUUAAAAAUCAAAACGGCCUAUGAUCCUUUCCUAACCCCUAUCUUUCAACCAAGUUAAGACUAACCGGGCAAGUUCUGGAUUUAACACACAAAGGGAACUAAGUAGUAUCUCACACACACAUGGCACAAAGGUGCAUCACAAGAUAAUACCUAUCCAGUUCAUGGGAUUGUUUAGCAGUGGAUAUCAUGUCACUAGUACUAAUGCCAUAACAAGAUGCACAGUGAUCAAACAUAAAUGUAUAUCACACAAUUAUAAAACAGACCAACGGAGAGGUGUUUAUCAGUCUCAAAAAUCAAGAAAAAUAUGUCAACUGCUCUAGAUACUUAUUUUUCUCCAGUUAACAAUAACACAUCACAAAAUAAACAUAGUAUACCUAAACAUGCCUGCUCUACUACGAACAAGACUCUGGGGAAAAGAGGCACGGCAAAAAAACCCACAGGAGGACAUCAACACCCACAAGUAGCCCCACUGUCAACUUAAUAUCAUGCAUUGGUCCCAACACGUAUAAUCAAAAAAAGAGAUUUAGAACCAUACCUGUGGCACCAUGGGUGAGAAGAUCUGAUUUCAACCACAUAAUACGAAUACAAACAACAAAAUAUCUUGGGUUGCCUCCCAAGCAGCGCCUGGUUUAACGUCGUGGCUCGACUCAGUUAUCUUGACUACUCAGACUUCGUCAAGAUAUCUUGUUGAUAAUUAUUUAUAUCUCCACUUGGAGGAUUUAAAAUGCCGGCCUAACUUUUGAUCAAUACAUCUUUGGGGUAAGUUGGGAAAAUGUGAGGGCAUGAUGAGGAAUAUUCUAUCACGCCACUUCAAAGACUUGAAAUGCUUGCCCAAUUUUACAUCAAACUUUCGUGUGGUAUCAUUUGGCAAUGGUGAGAAUCUUAAACAUCCACAAAAUGGACAUCUAUCUUUAAGCUCCUUGUCCUUCAAUAUUGGGGUUGUAGUAUACCCUUUUGGAAGGACAAACUCCAAAAUGUAAGAAUCUUCCUCCUCAUUUUCAAAAUUCAUCAUUUGCUUGGGUGAUUCGACUUUCAUUACAUCCACUAAGUAUAAUGUUGAAAAGUGAUUCGAAUGAGGACUAUCCCUCAAUUUUGGAAUAACUUCCCUAUUAGUAUUUUUAUCCCGAAAUGGACUAGAGUCUUCACGAAGGUUGUGCUUAAUUUCUUCUUUUGACUCUAAUUCCAUUUCCUCAUCCUUGGCAUCUUCAUUAAUGAAUGGUUCGGUUGGUUGGGAAAUCACUAAGGGUUGCUCAACAUAAAGCUCAUCAUCAACAUCAUAUUCUUGCUCUUCAUUCUCACACUCUUCCAUUAUUUUAAACGAUUCCACAAAUAAGAUAUCAUCUAAACAUAGUGUAAAAGAGGGCUUUGGAUGAUUGACCUCUAUAUCCAUCUCCUCGUGAAUGAUUGGCCUUAUAUCUUGAUGCAUAUCACAUACGAUAUCAUAUGUUGUUUUUUUGGAGAUCUAACAUUCUUUGCAUCUUUGGAGGUGCUCCAAGAAUCAUCAUCAUCAAUGCAUACUCCAACGGGGUUACCACCUAAAUCCCCGUCUCAUCACUAUCCUCAUUUGAAGUAAGGACAGUCAUCCCUUCUAACUCUUUUUUCAAGCCAUCGAGGACGUUAUUCUUCACUUAGUCCGUAUAUGUCUAAAACAUAAUCAUGUAAUCCAUGUUCAUUUCUCAAACAGUAGGGAUGAUGUGCGGGUGCACAUUCUACAAAAUAUCAAUUAAUAUUUACAUAACAUUGAAUACAAUGGUAGUAUUAUUGCAUGAUACAAACUAACUUCAUACCUCAGUAAGUUUUCCUUUAUACUUGAAUGGGCCGCCUUUGAUUAUCUUAUCAUGUUUUGUAAUGUGCCAUCUGAGGAUGCGGGGAAUGGAAAAGGCUCAUCCAUUGAUUUUUCAGUAAAUUCUCCAAGAAGAAGAAAGGCCUCAUAGAUCCAAAUUUGUAAGCAAUACAACAGUGAAAAAAGAACUCAGAGUCUAUGACAGUAUAAAUAAAAUGAGAAUUGACGAUAAACUCAUUAAAGGGUUUAUGGUAGAAAUCAUGAAUGCCAAGGAAAAUCUGAAUAGAGCAUAAGAUGCCUUCUAUUUCUCAUUAAAUACUUCCCUCUUCUUCUUCUGGUCACUUUUCUUCUUCAGAGAGUCCAUGGUCAGUUGAAAUGUCUCUUUCCCCCACAGAUACUUCUCGAAGAAAAUCAAAAAAUCGAUCAUUCGAAUCAGUUUUGUGUCGACAACCUUCGUCGAAUCUUUUACAAGAAACAUGGUG